rnacentral:lncRNA from 1 species
UGCUAGCUACAGCCGGACCUGCAGGUCUGCGGGUGCCAAACGUCAUUUCUUUAUUACGACCAUUCAUUAUGUCGUUGUUACCAGUCGAUAGCAUGGUGCAAUUUAUCACAUUAUACCUUAAUAUAAAUCCGGUUUAAGGUAGUUAGUACAACAGUAGUUCUUAUUAUACAAAACUACAGUACUACAAUGAUUUACCCAUUACAUAUUUUAGUGAUAAUCUCACUUAAGCAUUAAUGUACAAACUAUAUUUUAUUAAAUGAUAGUUAUACUUGGGUAAUUACACACUUUUACAACAAACGAGUAUACAAGACAGUUAAGCCUUGGUAGAAGGUUACUUUUAUAGAAAAUAUAGGAUUUUCUGAGAGAUUCAAACUUUUACAAACACUUUCAAACAUUUUCUUACAUUUUUACAAACUUAUACAUUGAGACAGGUUCAAACGUUUUUGACAACAAACAUUGACACUAAAAUACUUAUGAACUCACCAGCUUAAUGCUGAUAAACUCUUUCAAAAUAACUUGUAUUCUCAGGUCAUCAGUAGACAGGUACCGAGGCCAGCUUUUGAGAAGAUGGAGCGUAUUCAAGACUCAUCUUAUUAUUUUGAUUUACAUUAUUUUGGUGUCUAUAACUGUACAGAACACGCUUGUAUUAAAAUUAUAUAUUUAAUGCAAUGGAUGAUGUUGUUUGCUUAUUUACAUUUACUGUGUUGUGAUACUAUACAUGACGUCCUCCGCCUCAGAACGUUUCCGCCGUUCUUGGUUUUGGGGUGUGACAGAACUUACAAGGAGUUUUGUCGCUCAGGUCCAAGAGAGCUCACUCCUGAAAUGAUUCAAUCAAUCAAUGAUGCUGAUAGGCUUGCUCCCAGGGGAAAGAAACAUGACAAGGGAAAAGACAAGAAGGUUGUCAAAGGAGCGAAAGGUCCUUCUCCAAAGAAACGCAAACCUUCCAAGGCAGCUCAAUCCCCUUCACCAAGGAAGAGGAAGACUCAACCCAGGCAUAAGCUUAUUCGUGCCUCCUCCUCCAGUGAAUCUGAGGAAGAGAGUUCAGACUCAGAAGAGUCCCUUCGAGGUAAUACUCCUCCACGUUCGCCUACCCCUGAGGUACCUAUUUCUUCUAAACCUAUCUCUCCUCCUUCAAUCUCCAUCUCUAUUUCCAUUCCCCCCAUAACCUCCACUACUCAAAUACCACCUACCUCUAUCCCUGUACCACCUCCUAUUUUCACUGAAGCUACCACAACAACCACCGCUGGCGUUCAAACCAACGUAUCUGAUACGAGGGCUCCUACUACAGCACCCGAAACUACUCCCAUUACCGAACAUACAUCCGCACCCGAACCUACUACCACAACCGAGCCUCCACCCUCGCCCUUAUCUCCCGGUCACUCAGCAGAAAAUGAUGAACCUUUUCUUGGAUGAGAGGACAUGACGUUUGACUCGGUCUACUACAGUCCGUAUCAAGUGCAAAGUGAUGAUGAUAAUGAUGCUCCAGUCACCAAGAAGCAUCUCAAGGAGCUUCAUGAGAAAAUCGAUUCUCUCAUUGCUUCCUCCUCCUCUUCCUCUCGAUCUACUAUCUCAGAGGCUGUUAUUCAGGGGCUCGUUGAUACAUUCACCAAGGCUCAUGAAGCCUCUAUCAACUGUGCCACUGCCGCUAUCGACGCCUCUACCAAGGCGUGUGCUGCUGCGACCAAAAAAGUCAAAAAACUAUUUGUUGAUGCUAAUUCUCGUUUUCAGUCUUUACAGGGAGCCGCUGACUCCAAUGCAGAGAAGCUUGACUCUUUUGUCAACAAGCUGGCCACUUCAGUUGCCUCCGAACUGCAGUCCUUUGCCAGUCUUCGUCGGUCUCUCAACGAUGACAACAAAUUAUUCCAGGCGACUGUUGAGGAGCGCCUGACUAAGCUGCAAGAAGACCUCGCUUGAGAGAACUCAGUGAUGGAUGCUCUUGCUCGCAAGACUACUGCUCUCAAGGUCAAGAGUCUUCAUCUUUUCCAAUCUUAAAAGAAAGUCGCAUCUCUUCGAUCUGAGCGUGAGGUUAUUUCGUCGUGUGUUUCGGAUGUUCACGCCGCCCUUUCCAACAUCAUCGAAGAACAUGAUCCUAUCCUGAAUUACUAAGUGAGGCGCACUCUCACAGAGAAGCUUGCUCCUGCCCUUUCCCUACUAAGCAAACUUGAAGGGCUCCUUGAGUUCGUGGCGUAUCCGAAACAAGGGGGAGUAGAUGUGUCUCAACCACCUCCCAUUUCCACAGCAACUAAAGCAACCGAACCUCCUCCAGCAGGUCAAGCCUCAGGUUCGGGUGUCAAAGACAAAGGAAAGAAGAUUGCUGAAGAUAGUGAUGAUGAUGAUAAAGAGACCAUCGCUGAUCUCUUAAAGAAACAAGGCCGAGAUAAAGAUGCUGACAUGAGCACUCGAGUUGCUCAGAAGUUAAUAGGGAGCUUGUCGAAUUCUAUCUGAAGUCUGCUCAACCUCAGUAUCAGACAUGGAGCGCUCAGAAGAUCGUCAACGUUCGGGUCCUCAAGCCGUUUCGUGAGGGGAACUUCACGAACGUUCGGUUCAAAGUGUUGAGGGGUUCUGCUAAAACCGAACACGCUAUAUCACUUGCUGAUCUUCCCAACCUGAAUCCACAUGAUUGGAUUAUUUUGCAUAACAUCCUCCUCACCAACGAAGCUGAGUAUGGUCCAAUCAUUGAUCACUUCAAAAGAAUGCUUGUAUGCUAUAUUAUGGAGGUUGCCAAGAUGGAUCAGGAGAUCGCUAGCAUCUUCAAGAAAAAGCCUACUAUCUCUCCUGUGGGCUCUGCUAGUGAUUUGAACAGGAUGCAGAUGGGAAGAAUCGACCCGAAGCGGAAUUCUGUCAUGUUUACAAGGAACAAAGGUCAAAAAUGCAUGUUCGCCUUGUCAGGUAAGCACCUUUACACCACUGCAUGCUUGGAACAUGUUCUGGGAAUCAUUCAUCGUUGCAAGCAGAAUUCGGCGGAUGACAAGAAGUAUUUUGAUGACAUGAUCCAGUGGUACAUUCGCUUCAGACAGACCAUCCUUGCUCUCAUCCCACGUCUGUUUGAAACCACUAAGAAAGUUCCUGCAGCUGGACCCAGCAAGCCGAAGUAAUAGUCUCGCUCCAAUUGACGCAAAGGGGGAGAUUGUAGGGUCUGAAAGGUGUUGCGUCUUGGGCUCGCUCUUUAGUCCAUUUUGUCUCCGGAUUGGGCCUGUCCAUCCGUGAAUUAUUUCUAGGGUUUUGUAUUUAUAGGUGCUUGCAUGCAUCUUAGUACAUAAGAUUUGGAAGUUAAUUAUUUUGAAAGAUUUCAUCUUUAUCGUUUGUAACCCUAAUAGCCUCUACAGCGGAAGUUCUUUAUCGAACUCUGUUGAGGCUUGAAUCUAUUGAAUCAUUCGACAUAUUUUGAUUCAUUCUUGUGCUUUAUAUUGUUGUUUUCGUUUUAAUGAUUAACCUGUUAAAAGAUCUAAACGAUCAAAGAGUUUCUUAACUCUUCAUUGUCCAUUAAAAAAUAUUACAUAUUUAUACUUUAAUGUUUAAUUUUUUUAAAUCAACUAACUUAAUACACGGGUUUCAUACCUACUAUAACAAUAAAACACACAUAUAAUUAUUUAUAUUAAAGAAAUUUAAAUAAAAAAACAUUAGAUCCAUUCCACGUGGCUCUUCUUCUCCAAAAUAAUCACCAAUUUUCCUCACCGCUUUUUCUCCAUCGGAGCUAAAAACCACGACCAAUUCUUUAGAUUAUUUCUUGGUCGAUCGAUUGAUAAAUUUAGUUUCACAUGAAGGGUAUUUAAAAUUUUACCCUUCUCUUGCUCGUGAAAUCUAUUAUGCAUCUGUUAUAUAAAUUCACACCACUCCCCUAAAGGAAUCGUUAUCCGAUCGUUACUUCAUCGUUAAUAUUGUUCCUUAGUUUUAGUAUUUAUCUUCUUUUGCUUUAUAUCUAGAUUUAAUUAGAGCCUAAGGAAUUGUCUUGUAUAUAUGGUCCUUUGUUUAAUGAACGAAAUCAGCUUUAAGAAUAAUCAAAACCUUUAUUCCCAACCCAAACUAUUGGCUGAAUCAGUUCUUUUGUUCAUCUUCCAGCUGCUGCUUCCCGACUGCUACUUAAGUGGAGAGAUCACAAAUCGACAUUGGAUAAACUAUAAUCAUUUUGGCUGAUUUUCCAUCCGGUCCUUUGGCACAAGAAUACACACUUGCCUGACCGGUUUAUUCAACAUGGCUUCAUUAAAGUGUUUACCUUCUAGCUACAAUUUCAUAAUAUUACUAUGUAACUAGAAUGUUCUAAUUGAUUAAGGUCAACUUAUUUCGUUCAUUGUCGCCAGUAAUUCAACUAAUGGACAUAUAGGAAACCUUUGCAUAUAUACUUAGAAUGUUUUUUAUUCAAUCCGUGAUUUCAUAGCAUUUAACUAGGCCUUUUUUGGUAACUAUCUUUCCUAUUAUUCAACCCGGAAAAAAUAUGUUGGAUGGUCGCCAGUGAAAAAGGUAGGAAGAAGUCUGGAAAAACAUGUAGAAAUGAAUGGUAAAAGGGUGAAGGAGUCAUAGAUGAAAUAUGGUGGUCAUUGAUGUGAAUAAGAAGACAGAUAUGUUGAUAGGAGGGGUGAGGAAGAAGAACUCCAUUUUUUAAGGUUUCUGUUAUCUAUAUAUAAAAGUUAGGGUUUGAUAAUAUUACCAUGUUUUGGUAAAUAAAUUUGAAAUUACCUUUAAUCGGUAAAUAAAAUAUAAAACUACCAUCCUUUAGUUUAAAACUCCAGUUUUUUUCCAGGUGUGUAGUUAAAGUACCGAUCAGCAGCAAAAGCGUUGAAACCUAAGUGGUAUUUUCCAGUUAUAUAUAAUCUUUUGUUGUAUAUAAGAAUAUGUUUUGAAAACCUUAAGUGGUAUUUUCCAGAUGAAACGAACUCCAAAAGGAAGUCAGAUAAAGAAAGAGCAUAAUCAGAGUCGGAAGACAACAAUAACGCUGAAACUAAUGAUAAAUUAAAAAAGUUAGACACCAAACAUAAUUCUCUGUCAAAAGCCAGAAGAAUAUCCAUUGUGAAGAAGAAAGCAAACUAGAUAGAGCUCCUUUACAACCUCCCAAAUAUAUAUACACACACACGUACGGCAAUGCAUGAUAAAUUAAUUAAGAAGACUGCCCUAAUCCUUCAAUUUGGCAUGUAGUAAUAAUGAUUAAAAUAAUAACGUCAAUAGUACAGGCAUGUGAUUAUUUUUUAUGUAAUUAAUUAACGCAAAAUCAAUAAAAUAUAGGUUUAUUCUGAUGACAACGACAACCAGUAUCAUCAUUAAUUCCCUCAGAAUUUGUUCUUGUGCUGUGGGCUUGAAUAGGUGCGUCUAUUCUUCAAUGGCGAGCAUGUUCUAUGGAGUUAUUUAUUUAUUUUAUUAUUUUAAAAUAAAAUUUUGAAUACGUACGCCAAAUAUCAGUAAAAUUAUAUUUUUACUUAAUAUGGCCAAUGGCCUACAAAUGUUUAAUCUUUAAUUUGUUAACAAUAUAUUUAGUGUUAAAUUCAACAGAUACAUGUGGGAUCUAGAAAGAAAAUAAACGGUGGUCCAUCAUUAAUAAAAAGUUAAACAAAAGUAGAAAAUAUGUAAAGUAAAAUUGAAAUUUUAGCAUUUUUUUGGACUUUUUUUCACCAAAAACAAUCGUAUCAGAGAGUGAUUUCAACAUAUGAGAGUGCCAAGAGAGCCUAUUUCAGCAUAAUGGAUACUUUUGUGAAUGUUUCAUAGUAAAAUAUAGGGUGAGACCCAUUUUCAAGUAGGGGUGUUCACGGUCCAGUUUUUCCGGUUUUAGUUCAAAUCGAAGCGAAACCGUUAGUUACGUUUUUUUUUUCAAGCGAAAACCGAAGCCAAACCAUUUAAAAAUUAAAACCGAACAAAAUCAAACCGUUACUAACGGUUUGGUUCUGGUUUGGUUUCACGGUUUGGGUUUGUUAGGCCCGUUUUAGUAGAGCCUAUUAGAUUGUUAAAAAAAAUUCAAUAUUGUUACAACAACAAAAAAUCUGUUAAAUAUUGUUAAAAAUCUAAAAUAUUGAAACUUUCAAAAUAGUAUAAAAAAACUGUCAACAAAAAAUUUGCCAAAUAUUGUUUAAAAAACUACAAUACUGUUAAAAAAACUAUAAUAUUAAAGUUGUCAAAACUGCCAACAAAAUAAAUAAAAAAGCAGUAAAUGAAACCAUAAACAUUUUUCUAUUACAUCAAGCAUUUGUAUGGAUUUAUGCAACCUAAAAACCAUCCAAAACAGCAAAUAUUGUUCCAUUAUAUCAAACAUUAAACUAAUCUACACAAAACAACAAAUAUGUUUCUAUUAUCUGCAAGCUCACUUCAAAAAUGAUAUCCACUUUCAAAAUGCCAUCGAUCCAUAAGCUUUUGUUGUCCAAAAAAAUUAAUACUAAAAUAUCACACCAAAAAUUCAAUAUAAAACCAUCAGAAAAAAAAAAAGAUACCUUUCAAUCGAUAUUGUCGGUACAAAUAUUAAGUUUGUUUGUAAAAUCUGAAAUACAAGUUAUAUUUUGUUAAAAAUAAUAAUAAAGAGAAAAUAUAAAAGUUUUUAGAAUUUGAAAAAUUACCAUUUUCAAUUUCUUCAAGCUCUUCAAUUUCUUUUAGCACAUCUUCAUCAUAAUCUUUUACAGUUUAGUUAAACACACACCGAAUCCAAUUUUGUGUGCAUACAACGCUUGCACUGUUUAGGAGAAAGACUACUCCUAAAUGAAUCCAAAACUCUACCGCCCGUGCUAAAUGCAUAUUCCCAAGCAACUGUAGAAACUGGAACAGCUAACACAUCCCUUGCAAAUUUUCUUAAAAUCUUAUAUUUUGCUUAUUUGUCUUCCACCAAUCCAACAAGUCAAAUGACUCAUAGCUUGGCUCUUGAUUAUCUGACAAAUAUCUUUCAUGCUCACUUAAUUCUUCUGUUUUUCAUCUUCCAAAUGUGCCUUAUAUUUUAGCAUAGGCGUCUCUUGUAUGCUAAGAUUCUCAUUAACUUUCCUUUUGUUAUGAUUCUUGUUUGAAGAAGAAUUUUUGGCAUGCAUAGGAUCUUUUUCCAAAUAAAAGUCAUAAAGUCGAGUCAAAGUAGCUUUUAACUUAUUUUUCAAGUCACAUGCAAUAUAACCAAUACGGUACAUUUCUUCCAAAUUCUAAUUGACAUAUUAUAACUUAUAUCGAGGAUCAAGAACAACGGCUACAUACAAUAAAGGAUUCAUCUUUUCUACAUUUCCCCAAUACUAAUCAUACUUUUCUUUCAUGUUCAUAGCCAUCGAACUCACCCGCCAAUCAUCACGUUCAAUGCAUUCAUCAAUAUGGCUAUGCAAUGAACACAUAUCAUGAAAGUAAGCACUAGAAGUUGCAAUUUCCAUUCUACAUUAAUGUAAUGGACUAUUAAAACCAUAUAAUUGAUGUUUUGACAUGAAGUCCAUGCAUCACUUGUAAGAAAAGCAGAUUGUGAAGAUUUUUGUAAAAGCUCUUUCAAAAUAUUAAUUUCUUCCACAUAUAAAGAUAAGAUAUUUCUAGCAACUGUAAUCCGACUCGGUAACUCUAGCUCGGGUCGAACUACACUAUAAAAAUAAUGAAAACCUUCUUUUUCAACAAAUCUAAAUGGUAGUUCAUUAAUAAUAAUCAUUUUAGCAAGAGCUUGCUUACCCAAUUCCUUUGUAAAACGACCAAAUUGAAAGUUUCCAUCCUUACCCUUUCAAAAAAAAUUAUUGUUGAAUCAAAAAGUGACCCUCUUGAACUUUUGCUACCGCUGCGCCCAAGCCACCGCAGUCAAGCAACCUCUUCAUCAACUGUUAUCCGAAGUCUUCAGCACCGCAGUCUAUAUCUUUACUUAGUUUAUUUUGUCUUUUCUGUAAUACACUCUAAUAUCCAGUAUGCCUUGCAUGGCUAUUCUUAGAGUUGUAAGCUUCUCUAUAAAUAGAGAUCAUUUUCAAUGUAUUCAGUACGUGUGUGAAUCUCUCCUCAAAUUCUAAUACACAUCAGUUCUCAUUCUAUCUUAAUUAUCAAACCUUCUUAUUCUCAUAAUCAAUUAUCAUCUCUUUUAAAUAGCAAGUCACUUGUGACUUAAUCCCUAAGCUAGAUCUCAUUUACUAACUUGGUUUGAAUGCAUUCCCUGUUAUGAAUCUGCUUUUAUGUAUACUUGAUAUAACAAUUGUUGUCAUUUACAUUCCUUACUUUUCCACAUCUAACUCACUAACUUCUAACACUUAAUAUUAUUGUUGAGCUAACAGAUCCUUUGAGAUUAACUAUUCCGCUAUAUACUUGUUCUAACGAUUUGUUCAAGUGUGUCUCAAAGUUUUUCUCUCAACAAUUGGUAUCAGAGCCACGGUGGUUGCUUUUUGAAAAUCGGAAUUCUGAUUUUUCGAAGAGCUUUCUAUACCACUGAAGCUCAUUUCUUAAACACAAAAAUUCUUCAAAAUGGCACAAUCAUUAUCACUAAAUGUCUCCAACAGUGUUGGUGGUUCUAAUCGAGCCCCAAUACUGGUUGCGAAUGAGUACCAUCACUGGUCUCAAAGGAUGGAAAGAUAUCUCAGACGACUUGGUAGAGAUAUUUGGCGAUCUAUAAAGGAAGGACCACAUGUUCCAGUCCUCACACCAGUCCAAACUGAUGGAGCCACCGCAAGGCUAGAAGGAGGUCAACCAGCUUUGAACUGUCCCACCAAAUAUGAUCUCGACAAGAUGGAAGAUGAUGUUAUUGCCUUUUAUGAAAUCUCUUGUGGAGUUGCUCCUAACAACUUCGACAGCAUCAUAAACUGCAAAUCAGCAAAUGAGAUUUGGGAUGUUCUCAAAAACUUGUAAGAAGGUUCAUAGCAGGCUCAAGACAAGAAGCUCACUACAGCCCUCAACGAAUUCAACGGCUUCAAAGCUCACUUCGGUGAAAGUUUGGAAGACUCUUUUAAGAGAUUCAACUUGAUUGUCACAAAACUGUCCAAUGCAGGCACCGUCCGCAACAAUCAUGAAACAAAUAUACAGUUCCUUAAGGGCUUAGGAAGACAUUGGACAACAGCCAAAAUGAUUGUUCAUGGAGAUAGGAAGAUUCACUCAUUGUCCCUCUAUAAGCUCUAUGGUGAGUUGCAAGCUCAAGAGUCCACUGUACUCAAGGACUGCUCAGACUUCGGAGGUCCACUUGCUCUUGUAGCGCAAUCACCACACACUCAAACUUAUCCCACUUCGUAUGACUCAUCAUCGCAGUCAUAUGAAGCAAACUCAGAAUAUGACGAUGAAGAAGAGUUUCAAAAUGUCAAUGCCCUUGUCAGUCAAAAAUCCAAUCACUUACCACCUUCAUUUCAUAAAAAUCGAUAAUACAACCGACCACCUUUCAACCGCAACUUUCAAAACAAUCACUUUCGUUCCACCAAGAAUCAUGUCCCUCCACCGCAGCCUCAGCAAACACAGUCUAAAGAAGUACCACCGUAGUCCCAAUCAACUGACUCCGGUACCUCUUUAGAAGACAAGAGUGACAUUGUUAUUUGUCACAAGUGCAACAAGGAAAACCAUUUUGCCAAGGAUUGCAAGGCAAACGUAGUGAAAGAUAGAGCCUUCUAUCUCAGAAUGGCUCAAGAACUGGAGGACAAAGAAAAGGAAAAAGCCUACAUUGCUCAAGUGAAAAGGAAUCAUCAAGUGUGGUCAUCCGGAGACGAAGAUGAAGACAACCGCAGUAAAGGAGAAGGCACGAUCUGUAUGAUGACAACUGCUGAUGAAGACGGCUCAACCAAACUAAAGAAGAACCAUUGCUAUAUGGCAAAAGAUGGAACUCUCAACAUUGUGGAACAGGUAAAACUUACGAUUCACACUUAAAAUUAUAGCAUGCAUGACUGUCAACCUUACUUGGACACACUGAAUGACACAUGUGUUGCCGUCCUUACAGACUUCAAUAAAGCCUUAGAUGAGAAGAACAUCGCUUCACCGGAGAUGUUCCAUGUUAGAGGACGUUUAGACAAUAAGAGACUCAAAAUGGCAAUGUUAUAGAAAGACUUGACGCUAGAAAAGGAUGCUAAAAUGUUAAGCGAAACACAAUUAAAAGUAGCCUUAAAUCAGAGAGAUUUAGCACAGAGUGAAAUUGUAUGCUUAAAUCUUUUAAUUGAAAAGCUUUUUAAUGAAACUGAGGCCAUUGAGAAUCUUGUUAAUAAUGGGAAUGUUGAUAACACUUUUAAUUGGGGUUGGUCCGAUGGGUAUCCAACCGCAACAGACUCCUCACCUCGGUUCACACCGGAACGUCCCUAUGUCCCUCCAGACCGCAACUGCUUAUUUCCAGUCAAUAACAAAACAUCCUGGGGAUAUCCAAGCUCAUUUUGGUAAGCUUCAUGAUAUGAGUAAUAACUGUGUUAUCGAAGAAAUUCUGCCUGAAUUUUCUAAUCACGUUGAUAACAUAGAUCACUCUGAUUCUAAGACAUCAUCCGUAGUCGAUGAGGAAAUUGUUGUAGAAUGUCCUAAAGUCAUAUUAGACUUCCCAUCUCUACAGUCUGACCACAGUGUUCCUAACCGCAGUCAUGAACUGCAAACCGUCCCAUUACCCAGUAACAAUUGUCCCACUAAAGUGUCCACCACGACUUACUCUGCGGUUAUUCAAAGCACUACACCACAUACCUUAUUUAAAAGUUCUGUGACUAUUGAACCAAUUAAUCAUGAAUUACCAAUCGGAAAUUUUGAAUUUGGUCAAUGUUCUCAAAAUCCUAACUUCUCCAGUUCGGAUGAAUCUAGUCCCUAUUUUUCAAAAUCUUCAAAAGAUUUAAGGAAACCACAAUUAAAAAUCACUGACUGCGGUUCUCCUAAGACUGAAGCAAAAAGAGCCUUUAAAGAAGAAUUUCGUUCCCGUGGGAAGCAACGGGAAAUUCAUUCAAAACGAAAGAAAUAUGUGAAAUAUCCCAAGUCAAAGAGUCCAGAAAAACUUGUUUUCUCAAAUUAUCAUUUCAAAUCAACUAUUUCCAAGAAAACAAAAAGGAAUGAGCUUACUAUUUCUGACAUUGCUCAAAAAACACCUAACUCUAAGGAUAAGUCUUUUCGAUCAAAUGGUUUUCAAGUCUAUUCAUUAGACAAUCCAAAAUGGAAAGGUAUUCCACCUACUCCGAUUCUUCGAAAGUCACUUUUAAAAACUCAAAAAUGUAAAGGAAUUUUGCCAACCCCGGCACUCAAAAUGUCACCCCAAGAGUUUAUGAAAUCACAUCACAAAAGGCCUGCACGUGUCUACACACCUGCGAGACCUGCAAAAAACACGUUUUCAAAACACACAGACAAAAGGGUCAAAUCUUACAAUCCUCGGACUGGACAAAAGCAUACGUUUUCUUCAAAACAAUGGACUAAGCCAAAUGUUAGGGUAAAUGAGAAAAAGUUAACGUGUCAUUAUCAAUGUCAAAAGAUCUUCUCUCAUAAUAAAUCUCAUCAUUCUCAAAAAACUUGUAACUACCCACAAUCUCACAAAGCUCCAAAAGAUCUCAAACACCCAAGACUAGGCUUGGAAGUUGACUUAAAACCUGUCCCUGUCACCUCACAUCAUGCAUCGAUUAAUACCUCAUAUGUGACUCCGGGCUCCAAACUUGCUUGGGUGCCCAAAUUAACCACUUAAUUUUUGUAGGCAUUGUGCAAGGAGGAACAAGAAGAAGAAUGGUUGAUCGACAAUGCCUGCUCCUUGCACAUGACCGGAAGGUUAGAAUACCUUCGGGGUUUCAGGCCUAUAUGCAAUGGUGGAAAUGUUUCAUUCGGAAACAAUGCGAAUGGGAUCAUCCUAGGUUACUGUGUACUCACUAUGGGGAACUUUUCAAUCCAGAAGGUUGCUUAUGUAGAAAGCCUUAAACACAAUCUUAUCAGUGUUGGCCAACUAUGUAAGGCAGGCCAUCGAGUUGAGUUUGAUGAUCAAUUCUGUUACGUUAUGACGAGUGACAGAAGUACCUACUUGAUUAAGUCACGAUCUGAGGGUACCAUGUAUCCCUUGGAUGUCUCUCUCAUCAUUGGAAAAUCGCAGCUAUGUUUUCUCUCCAAAGCUGUAUCCGAAGUUAGCUGGUUAUGGCACCGCAAGCUCGCUCAUCUCAACUUCAAGUAUAUCAACACCUUGGUUACUGGAGAGCUGGUCAGAGGAUUACCCAUUCUCAAGUUUAGCAAUGACACUCUUUGUCCUGGUUGUGAAUGUGGUAAGCAGUCCAAAGCAAGUCACCCCAUGGUCAUUGAUUCUUCAAUAUCUGAACCACUUGAACUUCUACACAUUGAUCUCUGCGGUCUGUCAACCGUAGCCAGUCUUCAUCAAAAAAAGUACAUACUGGUUAUAGUUGUUGACUUCACUCGCUUUACAUGGGUAUUCUUCCUCAGACUUAAAUCCGAAACACCGCAGAUUCUCAUCAACUUCAUCAAAGAGAUAGAGCUUCAGAUCAAGUUGCCUGUAAGAUGCAUCCAUAGUGAUAAUGGCACUGAAUUUACUAAUCAUCCUCUCAACAACUUCUUGGUGUCAAAAAGUAUCUCUCAUAAUUUUUUAGCUCUUUACUUCUGGGCUGAAGCUGUAGCAACUGCAUGCUUUGUUCAAAACUGAAGCAUCAUAUGCAAACACCUCAAUAAAACACCAUAUGAGGGUCUCAACAACCGGAAACCAAAUGUUCUUUUCUUUCAUCUAUGGGUGUAGAUGUUUUGUGAUCAAUAACAUAGAUCAGCUUAACAAAUUUACACCAAAGUCUGAUGAAGGCAUCUUUCUCGGUUACUCCACAAAUAAGGUUGCGUAUCGGGUUCUCAUCGGACGUACAAGGCUAAUCAUUCAAAAGUUUUGAUGUGAAGUUCGAUGACUCUUACAUCCGUAACACCCCUCCAUCUACUGAAGCCACUGCCAUCAUGGAAAGCGACAUUCCUGCUUCUUCAGGUCCUCUAAACCUGGUUGAAGUCAAUUAUGAUGAUCUUUUCGACCCUGUUGAAACUGCAAAAACAAUCUGAAGUUCUUGUGUCACCAACUGCUCAACAACAGCAUGCUGAUGUUUCUAGUCCAUCUCUAUCCGAAGUAGGAUCUCUCAAUACUUUCACCUCUCCGGUUGAUGGGGAAAGCUCUAUUCCGGAUCAAGCAACAACCAUCGAGGUUCUAGUAUUUGAUGAUGCUCAAGCUCCUCUUCUUAAAAGAUCACUACCAUCAAACAUAUCUUCGGAUUCGGAUGAUGAAAUCAUAGACCAUUGACACUCGAACCAACUCAGCAAUCCAGGGGGAACCUUGUCAUGUUCCAGAGGAACUCCCAUCAGCAAUCCAGGGGGAACCUAUCCUAACUACUCAAGAAAAUGUCAUUCUCGCUCCAACGAUUCCGCAGGCUGUUUACAAAUCUAGGGGGAACUUCCUUCCCCAUCCGAAGCAACCUCUAAUAUUGAAAACAUUCCUUCUACCGCAGCUACUGACCAUCUAAUGCCUCGUCUACACGUAUGGACAAAGGAUCACCCACCAGGUUAAAUUAUUGGCAACCCAUCCGCAGGUAUACAGACUCGAUCUGCCAAAGAUCNUUGGGCACCCCAUCCGCAGGUAUACAGACUCGAUCUGCCAAAGAUCUAUCUGAUCAUUGUCACUAUGCAGCAUUCAUGUCCGCAGUCGAGCCUCGAUCUAUCAAUGAAGAAUUAUUGGAACCAGAUUGGAUUUCUGCAAUGCAAAAAGAACUGGAAGAAUUUGAAAGAAACAAAGUAUGGCAACUUGUUCCCAUUCCACAAGGCCAUACUAUUGUUGGUACAAGAUGGGUGUUAAAAAACAAGUUAGAUGAAUCUAGUGUUGUUAUCCGAAAUAAAGCUCGACUAGUUGCAAAAGGGUAUAGUCAACUGGAAGGUGUUGACUACGAUGAAACAUAUGCUCCGGUGGCAAGAAUGGAAGCAAUUCGAUUUUUUUUAGCAUAUGAUGCCCACAAAAACAUCAAAGUUCACCAAAUGGACGUUAAGAGCGCCUUUCUCAAUGGGGAAUUGAAAGAAGAGGUUUAUCUUCAACAACCUCCCGACUUUGAAAAUAGUGAAUUACCUGACCACUGCUACAAGCUUCAAAAGGCAGUCUACGGUCUGAAGCAAGCUCCAAGAUCUUGGUAUGAGACUCUUUCUGAAUUCUUAGUCUCUUCAGGCUACAAAAAGGGAGUGAUUGAUCCCAUGCUAUUUAGAAAAGCAAAUGGUUCGCACCUUAUGCUUGUAUAAAUAUAUGUGGAUGUUAUCAUCUUCGGAUCGUCGGAUCAAGGAAUGGUGGAUGAAUUUGCUAAGCUCGUGACAAACAAAUUUCAAAUGAGCAUGAAUAGAGAGAUUAACUUCUUUCUAGGUCUUCAAGUCAAACAAAUUCAGCAAGGGAUAUUCAUUCAUCAAGAGAAAUACACCAAUGAACUUCUGAAAAAAUACUCUAUGGACAACUGUUCCUCGGCUAAGGUUCCUAUGGCCUUCGGAUAUAAGAUCUCUGCUGAUCCUUCUGGCGAAUCUGUGGAUCACAUGACUUAUAGAAAUAUCAUUGGCUCUUUAAUGUAUCUCACCGUAAGCCAACUAGACAUUGUAUUUGCAACUGGUGUAUGUGCAAGGUAUCAAGCUGACCCAAAAGUGUCACACAUGACCGCAGCCAAACAAAUUCUUCGGUACCUAAAAGGAAGCAAAUCUUUUGGUCUAUGGUACCCCGCAGGCAAUGACUUCCGUCUUCAAGCGUUUACUGAUACGGAUCAUGUUGGAUGCAAACUUGAUCGAAAAAGUACAUAUGCUAGAUGUCAAUUUUUGGGAGGUAGACUUGUCAACUGGUCCUCAAGAAAACAAAGCUGUGUUUUUUUGUCUACCGCAGAAGCAGAAUAUGUGGCCGCAGCCAGUUGUUGUUCUCAAGUUCUAUGGAUGAAGACUCAACUAUUAGACUACGGUUACAGAAUGUUGCGGAUACCAAUCUACUGUGAUUCUGAAAGUGCCAUAACGAUUUCUCAUAAUCCUAUUCAGCACUCCAAGACUAAACAUAUUGAACUACAGUAUCAUUUCAUCAAAGACCACAUUCUGAAAGGUAACAUCGAACUCAUUUUUGUCCCUACUCAUGAAGAGAUUGCUGAUGUCUUUACAAAAGCACUUCACUCUACCAAACUCAAUGCGUUCUUACAAAUGUUAGGAAUGAUGAAUCCGGACCCUCAAUUCUUCUUGAAUUGAUAGGUACCGUAGACCUUCUUGGUCUCCAUUGCGGUUCUAGAUGAAAGACACUUAUAACAAAUGGUUUUGGUACAUUCUGUGUACCACAGUCAAUGUACCGCAACCAUAUAUUAUAUCUAUCUUUCAUGGGUCUUUCUUGUUUGUUGUUACUAAUUUUUGUACAAGUACUUUUCUCAGUUUCUCCCACUGCAGUCAUCCGCAAUGACAAGGAAACCAUCCGCAAUGAUGUGUUCGUCCGCAGUCACAUUAAUUGUUUUACAGACGGUUCAUUUCUUUUUGAAAAACAAAAAUAGUGUGCUAUUUAAUGAUUCUUCAAUAAAUAAAACAUUAAAUAUAAAACAUUCCUUUGAGAAACUGUCACAUUCUUUUCUUCCAAAACCUCGUGUCAGACCUAUUUUAGGUAUGAUGACAAAAUAAAAGAUUUUCCAAAUCAAAUCCUCUAUUAUGUCUUUUCCUAUUACCCCAAACCAUCCCAUCCGUUACAACUUCUGCUUUAUCCAACAGAUUUUUCUCAACCCCCUUCCACAUGUUCUUAAGACGUGAUUUUAUCUCUGAUAUUUCAUUAAACGCAGAGUUCUUUUUCUAGUUAAUCCCAAUUUCCAUCUUUAUCCCUUUUUUGUCGAUUUGUGGUCAAGAUUAAAAGAUGCUUAUCCUAAGUUAGACCCAAACGGUUUUACCCAAAUUUCACCUAGGUCAAAAACAUAAACGUUUCUCGCUCCAAUAAACCACUAUAAAACCCUUUUCUUCUCCAGAAAGAACUUUUUACUCUCUAAAAAAAAAACUUAAUCCCUCUCUGCAUUCUUCAAGCUUUCAACAACUCAAAAAUGGUGAAAUCCGGUGCUUCCAAGAAACAAACCAAAGCCUCUGGAUCAGUAACCCACAUGGUUCAGAUUCUCCCACAAUUGCAUCGAGCAAUUUCAGAGCAGUGUUUGACGAUCAACCCACUUACAUUGCACCAACCAAACUAAUGAUAAAAUUCUUGAGUAAUCUUCCCUUGUCUGGACCGUUUGAUGCAUUUACAGACAUUGUUCCACUUUCCACCCUCUACAAAUGCACUUUUUCUGCAUAUCGCCUAGUCGAUAACCCUCAAGAAGUUCACCUAAACCUUGUGAAUGAUUCCCUGGUCAUCCUGACCAAAGAAAAGUUCCUUUCAGCCAUUAACCUUCUGAUUCAUCCUUCCAUCAAGUUCUUCACACCAUCAAUGGUGGACAUCACAUCUGCACUAUAUCAAAUGGGAUAUCAGAAGCCAAUCAAAGGAAUUGGUUCGUUCAAGAAAAAUCAAUUGCCUACGGUAUGGCAGUUUGUCUGUCAUUUUAUCAUCCGCAGUCUGUCUGGCAGAACCGGAGGCACAGACAACAUGGGAUUAAAGCUUCUAGAACUGGUUUGGAGCAUCUUCACCGGCCGCGAUGUCAACUACGGUCAGAUACUAUGGGACGAUUUUCUCCAGUACGUUCCCAAGGACAGCCCGAGGCAGAACCCAUCCGAGCUUACUUUUGCUCGAUUCCGGUACUUGUGCAUAUCAGAUCUACAUGCGGAUGCCAAGAUUGACAUGGGUGACGACAUAAAUUUCUUUGUCACCAAAGAUUUAAAAAGGUACAAUCCUUCAUCUGAUCAAAAUAUUUUUUGUCCCAUCCGCAGACUCCCUGCACACAUUCUUUCUUCUCUUGGUCUUGAGACUGUUGAUGUCUCAGAUCACAUAGAGGCUACGGAAGGUGUUGACCCAUACCUUCCUACACCGCCUCUUCCAUCUGCAACCUUAUACCCUAAAGAUGCCGUAGUUCCUUCUUCUACCACUCUUUCUAACGUCUCUCAGAGACGUCAACAUAAGGUUUCUUCUCUUCAUGGUCCCCGCACCUCAAUGAAAUCUAACACUCCCAAGAAGGAUGCCCCUAAACCAUCCAAACAAUCAAAGAAGAGAAAAACCCCACCUGUAAUCACAACUGCUGAACCGAGUCACCAUGACUCCGGUAGUGAUUCAGAAGAAGAUAACCAACCCAUCUCUAUCCUUAAGAAAAGUAAAGGUGAUCCCACUACCCAAAUGCUGAUGGGUUUUGAGCAUUCUAACAGUUCCUAAGUGUACAUGCAACCCUAAUAACCUUGGAUCUAUGUUUGUCUAAUUAUCAUGCAAAGUCGAAUUUCCAAGGUUAUAUUCCUAUCUAGCAUACAUGGGGAACAAUUUUAACUUGAAUGAAAGAUAGAAUAACUUACCUUGUUGUUGCUUAUGUUCUUAGAAACCUUGUGAGCCUAGCACCCCAAGUGUGAUGCCUCAAAUGCUUCACACAACACCAAAUGCUCUUGGAAAGACUUUUGAGAGAAUACACACUUCUUAAAAUCGGCCAAGCCCUCUAGUUUCUUAUGUGUAACCGAUUUUGAUGGAGAAUGGGACUCUUAUAUAGUGUUGACACAUCUAGGGUUACACCAUGUAAACCCUAAUGUGUCAUGACUCUUCAUUUCCAUGACCCAUGGAUUUGUAACUCCCAUGGAGCAUCCUAUGGGUGGAACCCAACUUGAUAAUCCAUGGAGCCUCUUAGCCCACUAUACAAGAUAUGAAUGAUUUACAUAAUCAACCCAUAUAUUUAAUUAGUUAACUUUUGAUCACUUAAUUAAUUCCAAAUUAAUUCUUGAUCAAACUAAUCAAAUAAUAUUAUUAAUAUAUUAGAACUUAUAAUUCCAAAUUAAUUUUUAUGAGUAGUAUGUCAUCCACAUACAACACCAAAAAACUAACUAUACUCCCACUAGCCUUGACAUACACGCAAGACUCAUCUUCACUCCUAGAAAAUCCAAAUUCCUUGACCUUUUUAUCAAAGCAGAGAUUCCAUCUGCGAGGUGCUUGCUUCAAUCCAUAAAUGGAUUUCUUAAGCUUACACACUCUAUUAGGGUACUCGUUGCUGACAAAACCCUCUGGCUGACUCAUGUAAACAUCUUCAGCCAACUUUCCAUUAAGGAAAGCGGUUUUGACAUCCAUUUGCCAUAUUUCAUAGUCAUGAAAUGCAGCUAUGGCCAACAGAUGCCAAAUAUACUUAAUCUUGGCUACUGGAGAAAAGGUCUCAUCAUAGUCCACUCCAGGAAUUUGAGAGAAGCCCUUUGCAACCAGUCUAGCCUUAUAUGUGUGUACAUUACCAUCCAUGUCGGUCUUCUUCUUGAAGACCCAUUUGCACCCUACUGUCUUACGACCUGGUACAUUUUCAACCAAGUUCCAAACUUGAUUGUCAUACAUGGAUUGUAUCUCGCUAUCCAUAGCCUCUUUCCAUUUAGCAGACUCGGGGCCUGCCAUGGCUUCCUCGUAGCUGUUAGGGUCAUCUUGACUUACUAGUGUCUCAUCACUAAUAAGUGUCUCACCUUCUGCAGUAAUAUGGAAUCCAUAGUAAUGCUCAGGUGCACUCCUAACUCUCGUGGAACGUCUCAGAGGUACAGAUUUGUCAAUUGGCUCAACAGGAGUUUCCUCCUCAAGUUGAGGGCUAGAGUUUGAAGUUCCUUCACCGCUUGAUUCUUGAAUUUCUUCAAGAUCAAUUUGCCUCCCACUGUCUCCUUGGCUUAUAAACUCUCUUUCUCGAAAGACUCCUCUUCUUGCUACAAAGACCACAUUGUCACUAGGUCUGUAGAAGAGGUAACCAAAGGAUCGCUGUGGGUAACCGAUGAAAAUACACCUCUCGCUUCGAGGUUCGAGCUUAUCAUGAGUCUCGCGUCUCACGAAAGCCUCGCAACCCCAAAUCUUGAUGUGGUCUAGUUUAGGUACUUUACCAGUCCACAUCUCGUGAGGAGUUUUGGCAACUUUCUUUGUAGGGACUAGAUUAAGAAUAUGGGCGGCAGUCUCUAAGGCAUACCCCCAGAAUGAGAUUGGUAGCGUAGCUCGACUCAUCAUGGAACGAACCAUAUCUAACAAGGUUCGAUUACGCCUCUCAGCCACACCAUUCAACUGUGGUGUCCUGGGAGGUGUCAAUUGUGAGACUAUCCCACAUUCCCUUAGAUAGUCGAGGAACUCUGAACUAAGAUACUCACCACCACGAUCGGAUCGAAGCAUCUUAAUGUUCCUGCCCAAUUGAUUCUCGACUUCCUGUUUAAAUUCCUUAAACCUCUCGAAAGUCUCUGACUUAUGCUUGAUCAAGUAGACAUAUCCAUAUCUACUAUAAUCAUCAGUAAAAGUCAAAUAAUAACGAUUAGCAUCCCUUGUGGCAUGUUUGAAUGGUCCACACACAUCCGUGUGUAUAAGGUCCAACAAACCUUCACCCCUCUCACACGAACCUGUGAAGGGUGACUUUGUCAUUUUUCCAAGUAAGCAUGAUUCGCAACUAUCAUCUGACUUUAGGUCAAACGACUCCAAGACUCCAUCCUUUUGGAGUUGGCCUAUGCGUUUCUUGCUUAUAUGUCCAAGACGACAAUGCCAUAAAGAUGCUUUAUCCAAGUUAUUAUUAGUAGAAUCAAUACACAAAACAUUAUUUCCCAAGUUAUCUACAACAGAUACAGCUUCAUACACACCAUCACAAGGUAAUGCUUUAAAAUAAAAGACAUUAUUAUAGAAAACAUCUAUAGAACCAACUUCAUUAUUAAAUGAAAAGGUAAACCCUUGUUUGUACAAAGCAUGAAAGGAAAUAAUAUUUCUUGCCAUUCCUGGCGAAUAACAACACUUAUUCAAAUCUAAACUAAACCCACUACUUAGCGAUAAAGUAUAAACUCCAAUCUUGGUAACAGGUAUAGCUUUCCUAUUCCCCAUGAUCAAGUUUAUCCUUCCUUGCUCCACAUCCUCACUUCUUCUUAGUCCCUGCAAGUCACAACAAAUGUGAAUACCACACCCGGUAUCAAGGACCCAAGAAUUAGAAUGGGGUGAGUUAUUAGAAAUGAUAGUGUAAAUACCUGCAUGGUUGGGUUUAACUUUCCCAUCCUUCACAUCUUGCUGGUAUUUUGGGCAGUUCCGCUUCCAAUGAGCUUUUUCAUGGCAAUAGAAGCAUUCAGCCUCUUUUGGGUCAGAAGAAGGAGUAAUGAAACCUUUCUUGGUUCCACUUGAAGAAGAGCCAUCAAGGGUCCGAACCUUGGUACCCUUAGAAGAGCUCUUUCUCUUCCUCCCUCGACUUUUCCCGAUUGCCAAAACCGGAGUAGAGUUUUGAGUAGGAGUGAUAGCAACCGACUUCCCCUUAAGACCUGAUUCUGCGGUCUUGAGAAGUCCCUGAAGUUUGCUGAGGGUGACUUCUUCCUUGUUCAUGUGAUAUGUCAUGCGGAAUUGAUCAUAGCACGAUGGUAAGGAAUGCAAAAUAAUAUCUAUUGCAAGAUCCUCCGGGAAGUUCACAUUAAGCUUCAGCAAACGAUCCACAUACCUUUGCAUUUUCUGCAUGUGGCUCGUGACGGAUUCCCCGUCCUUCAUCAUGGUUGUUAUCAUGGAGCAGAUGAUUUCAUACCUCUCUUGUCUUGCACUUUGAUGGUAUCUUUCCAUCAAAUCUUGGUGCAUUUCAUAAGGGUAGAAAUCCUCAUAAGACUUUUGGAGUUCCGCUGUCAUCGUGGCCAUCAUGAUGCAAGCCACUUUCGUAGCAUCCCUUUCAUGUGCCCGAAAUUCAGCGAUCUCCUGAGGAGUUGCAGUGGACUCAUCAAUCUCCUUAAGCUCCUUGUCAAGGACAUAUUCUUUGUCCUCGUAGCGGGUAAUCAUCCUGAUGUUUCUGAUCCACUCAUUGAAGUUGGAUCCAUCAAAGGUGACUUUCCCACACAAGUUCAUAAGGGUAAAGGAGCCAUUAGGAUUAGAGCCAGAAGCAUUGUUGAAAGACAUCUGAAGGAAAGAGGACAAGAUUAGUUUAGAUAUAAGAGAGUCCUUAAUAAAACACCCAAAUGUAAUAUUAAGGCUAGGAUCCAAUCACAAUAUAAUAUAACUUAGAAGAGGUAUGCCGUAAUCUAAGCUAUAUCAUAUUUGAAAGGUAGGUGAAUGACGAUUCACCAAUUUCCACCACGAAAACCGCAAUAUUUUAGUAUUAGGUUUUUGAAUGGUUCUUAGAAAUUCCUAGAUUCUUUGAGAUUCAAUGAACUUUUCAAAGGCAUGUUUCAAUCUCGAGUGUGCCCUCCAAGUUUUGUGACUGGGAUACCGAGGAUCACAAAACGAGGUGUGAAGUAACCAUGCAAAUCACUUGGUACCCUUAAAGUUUAUCACUCAAUCGAUGUGCCGGUUAACCACACACGCUCCAUCGAUACUAUAAUAAACCCUAAGUCACCCUUUACCUACCUUGUUAAGUCCAAGUUAGUGUGCCGGUUAACCACACACGCUCCACCAACGACUUAAUCAAAGUGUAAAGUGUAAUUUCAUGGAAUAGCACCUUAUUCACAUUUUUCCUAAAGUAACUAAGAUUGGGAAUUUAAUAAAACAUUUAGUUACUUUAUAAUAUUCAUCAUACUUUGAAUGAGAAUUAAUAAGUCCUUGUCUUACCCGUUCGGCUAACGACCCUCCACCGAUCAAGCAAGCGGUGGGUGAGAGUGGACACCCAUUAAGUCACCAUUUUAUAGGCAACAACCUUAUACCCACCUUAUAGACCGGCUUCGUGAAUGAGGCGUACUAGCGGUAAGACGACUUUGUUCUUAUACAUAUAUAUAUAAUUAUUAAAUCAUAAUAAUAUAAGUAUAAGGGUUGAAUUUUAACUUUUAAAAUUCUAGGGGUUGGAACUAAAGUUUUAACUUAACUUUACUUGUUCCAAAACUUGAGGGCAAGUUUUGUAAACUUUCAAAACUUUUCAUUUCUUGUAACUUAUGAGUUUAAUAGAGUAAUAAAAUGAGGACUUUUCAUUUUUCCUAACUCUUGUGUUCUUUUAAUGGUUUUUAAUCCAAGAGACUUUUGGUUUUCCAUAACUUGAGGACAAGUUAUGGACUCCAUUAAAACACAUUAUGAUCAUGAAUUAAUCUACCACAUAGGUUACAAAUAAUUCCUAUGAUCAUCUAAACAUCAUAAGAACAAGAAUAUGAAUAUGAACACUUUCAAGAAUCAAAAUCACAUUUAAUCUUUGUAAUUUUGAUAACUAGUUGUUGUAAAUGAGUUAGAAAAGACAUUACACCUUCUAAAAUAAGUUUUCAAGUACCAAAACAUUUUAGGGUAAUGAUUCUAAUCCAUUUCCAGCAACUCAAGUCGAAAUUCUGCACUCUGUCGACCCUACUCGCCGAGUGCAUAAACCUACUCGCCGAGUAGGUUGAAGAUACACAUGAACUCGACGAGUCCUCCCCAUGGACUCGCCGAGUCCAUCAGUCAGACAGCAAGAUUUUCGACUUUCUUCAACUUUUAAGCACAAAUAACAAACAAACAAGCCUAGGCUCUGAUACCACUGAUGGGUUUUGAGCAUUCUAACACUUCCUAAGUGUACAUGCAACCCUAAUAACCUUGGAUCUAUGUUUGUCUAAUUAUCAUGCAAAGUUGAAUUUCCAAGGUUAUAUUCCUAUCUAGCAUACAUGGGGAACAAUUUUAACUUGAAUGAAAGAUAGAAUAACUUACCUUGUUGUUGCUUAUGUUCCUUGAAACCUUGUGAGCCUAGCACCCCAAGUGUGAUGCCUCAAAUGCUUCACACAACACCAAAUGCUCUUGGAAAGACUUUUGAGAGAAUACACACUUCUUGAAAUCGGCCUAGCCCUCUAGUUUCUUAUGUGUAGCCGAUUUUGGUGGAGAAUGGGACUCUUAUAUAGUGUUGACACAUCUAGGGUUACACCAUGUAAACCCUAAUGUGUCAUGACUCUUCAUUUCCAUGACCCAUGGGUUUGUAACUCCCAUGGAGCAUCCUAUGGGUGGAACCCAACUUGAUAAUCCAUGGAGCCUCUUAGCCCACUAUACAAGAUAUGAAUGAUUUACAUAAUCAACCCAUAUAUUUAAUUAGUUAUCUUUUGAUCACUUAAUUAAUUCCAAAUUAAUUCUUUGAUCAAACUAAUCAAAUAAUAUUAUUAAUAUAUUAGAACUUAUAAUAUAUUAAUAAUCUCCAAGUGUUAUUCCUCUCAUUUAGUCUAUCCAAUUGCAUGGUGCCAUGCAACCCAAAUGGACCAUGCCGGGUCGGGUCAAGUACUAACCAGAAAUAGUUAUGGACUUAGACACCUUAUCCAACAAAUGCAUGACCCCAAAUGCAUGACCGGACCGAUACCCCAGCCUCUCCAUAGGUUCUGGUAGUCCUUGGGAUACCUACACAUCCAUUUGAUAAUACUCUCUUUUUCCUUUCAGACUCAGACAGUGAUAUUACUGGUUCUCACCCUAAAGUCUCCCGGACUUCCCGACUGCAUAUUUUUUAAUCCGAGGAGUUGAACUCCAUCCUCUUGAAUGUCACCUAUACACUCCAAACAUAGUCCCAUCUGCAAGGCACUUCUUCCGCCUUUGCUAGAAUUGAGCCGAGGCCAAACUUGACCACAUGUCAAGGAGACCAAGGAAGCUCAGGAAAUCCUACUCUGCUUACAUUACAUUCAGGUGGUUUAGGCAUGGUGAACACAAAUGUGCAAGGAUCCGUGAACCCAAGGGACACCUUGGUGCGUUUUUCAGGAAUUGACGGAGAAGACUCUAAUGAUUUUUGGAGCAGAUAUCAACCCUCUAACGAGGCUGAAGCCAAGAAAAAUGUCGCUUUCCGUAGGGCAUUUCAAGCUCGUACGGAUCAGCAGAUCAAGCAGCAACCGCUAAAAGAACAAGAGAUUCAAGUUGUGGCAAUGUAUUGGGCAGAUGCCAUCAACAAUGCCAAUACCGUAGCCAAUAUCCUGAAGGUUCAAGAAUGGAUGUCCGCAAUGGCAGCCAAAGAUCAACAAGCACAACAAACUGCUACUAAUUAGCAUGUUCAUCAAGCUCCCCCUUCUCCCCCUGCUACAGGUUCACAGGAUGAAGAACCUGAAAUCGAAGGGAGCUCUGCUCCAAUUUUUGGCUUCGAUGAUGAUGAACCACAAGAGGUAAACAAACUCUCUCCUUUAGAUGACGAAUUUAUGAUGUUCGAUGAAGACGAAAAAUCCAGUGGGUCUCAUCACUCCACAACUAAGCCAAAAGAAAAGAAGAAGAAGAAGAAGCACGCUGUCACAAGAAAAGAAUUCCUAAGUCUUCAAGCUAAAGUAGAUCAAAUCUUAGCUGCGGUUAAGCCAAAUCAACCGCAACCAGAGGACAGCCCGGGACCGCAGUCCCUGGUGGAAAGAAUCGAAAGACUGGAAACACGAGAGAGAUUGGCUGCGGAGCGCAUCUCUCUAAAAGUUGAAAUAGGGAUCAGAUCACUUGAGAACAAUCGUGAAGCUGAUCAUAAGCAGUUCAUGGCUGCUGCUGAACGCCUCAUCUCUGAGGCUACUGCCAUCAAAACUGAUCUUCAAACCGCGAUUGCAGAUCAGGCUUCACACUCUGAGAAGUUGAUUGCUGAAACUCAUACUGCUUAUGAGUCAUCAAUCUCCGUUCUCCAAUCAACUAUCACCAGAUUGCAACGCUCACUCUCCACCAACUUCCAUGGUCUGGAGAAUCUACAGCUUACAAAGGAGAUUCACAAACUAGUCUUCAAUCCCUCCAUCCCUAAUAACCAACAACUGGCGGAAGAGCUCAAAGCUCAAUUUCUAACCGUAUUUGACAAGUUUGAUGGCCUUCGUGAAUGGCUUGAGGAGGCUCCGGGUUUGAACUCCUCAAGAGGGGGAAGUGAAGAAGUCCAUCAAGUCCAUCAUUCCAACCAAUCCCUCUCACACCAUCAAGCUCCCCCAGCCUCUACUGGAAAAAUCCCCACUCCGCAACCUUCACUGCAACCAUCUCAUCACACCCCUCAUCACAACUCUCCUCCUUAAAUUGACAUAAAUCCUGAAAAACCAGAGAGUCCCCUGCACUUCAAGAAUCUGGAGGAAUACAUGUCGUCUCCGAGCUCAAACGAUUCUCCUGCCACUGCUCAGAGAAAAAGAGACUGGAAGGCAGCCAAGCUGGCCGAAGAAGUAUGGAGACUCUGCGGAUUCGACACAGUUAUGUAUGAAUCCUUGAUAAAUUCUUGGAUCAAUCCUCACAGCAGACUUCUUGAUGAUGACUAUGUCCGUCAUCAUACAUAUGCGGAACCCCCCUCAGACGGAUACUGGGAUGUCCCAAUGUCACCGAAUGUCAGAUACUUCACCGUAUUUUAGCAGUUCGAUAGAAGCCUUCCGGAUGACAAAAGACUUCCUAUGGAUUUCAAGAGACUUAGCCAAUUCUAUGUUAAGCAUGCCUCUCCAGUUGAACACAUAUGGUCUUGAUGGGUUUUGGUCAUAAGAACAUCCUAUGUGCUCAUACAAACCCAAUUGCUUGGAUCUAGGUUUCUCUAUUGUACAUGCAAGUUAUCCAAGACUAUAAACCCUAAUUCUAGCAUACAAGUAAUCAUAUUAACAUAAGAAUGGGUUUAAGAUCAUACCUUGAUUGUUAUAUAGCAAUAACAAUCCCAAUUCCUCCUUGUAUUGACUUUAGAAAGCUUAGAGUCACAAAUAUCACUCCUCUAAUGGUUCACAAACACCAAGAGCAAGAGGAUGUGAAGGAGAGAGGAUGGAGGCUGCCCAAAAAUGUGUGAAACCCUAGAAGGAUGCUUAGCCACGUUUUUGGGUCAUAAGGGAUGUAUAUAUAGUUAGGCUAUUAGGUUAUCUAACAAGGAAACCCUAAAUUGGAUGCUUAAGCCCUAAGCAACCCAUAGAUUCCUUUCCUUAAGGCCUUGGACGAUUUCCUUAUGGGUUUCCCCAUAGAAUUUGUCCACUCCAUAAUACAAGGCAAUCCAUGGCCCAAAUUGCAAUUAUCUUAUAAUUACAAUUCUAGUCCCUUACGUUUAAUUAAUCUCUUUUAGUCACAAAACUAAUUAGCAAUUAAUUAUUGACUAAUAUUAAUUAAACAAUAUGAUUUAUCCUUUAAUAUAUUAUUCUCAUAAUAUAUUAAUAAAUCAUAUUUAAUCCUUUCUCUCCAUAAUUCAUCCUAUCAAGUUGCUUUGGUGAAGGCAACCCAAAAGGACCAUGCACCAUCGGGUCAAGUACAUACCAAAAUAGUUAUGGACUUAGACACUAAUCCAACAGUCUCCCACUUGGAUAAGUCUAAUAACUAUUCUGCGUAUGACUUCAGAUCCUGAUCUGCAAUCGUAGCUUUCUAAAGCCGCUGUCAACUCUGAUCCUAUCAGAUACGCGUGUCCUUAGAUAAGGGAUCAUAUAUUCCUCCAUUCUAGAUAUCAUAUGAGAUAUGAUUUCAAAUCAUUCUCUUUGUACUAUAUCUCGAUUCCCGAUUUAUGACGACUGACUAAUUGAACAAAUCAAAUUAGCCCUAGCCCGGCCGAGCAUUUACGUUUGUCAUCACUAAAUCAUCGAGGGGCCCAAAGAUAUCGCUUUUAUCCUUCUUUGGAUAAAAGGAACGGAUAAACUUUGAUACAAUGCUUGCUUGCACUCACUCACCGAAUCACACACAACAAUAUGUUUUAUAACACCAAGUUACUAGUGCGUUUACAUAUUAUCAAUGUGCAACCGAUUUGCAAGAUACAACUCACACAUCUCGGUUUCAAGAAUAUAAGAUGUUAUCGUCUCACCAAUCACUCGUGAUACAAUUCAUGGAGUGAUCCAAGUGAGCGUGGGUUUAAUCCAAUGCUCAAAUCAUAUUCAUAAGCACUCAUGAACGUUGCAGCAAACAUUUGCUUAUGUCUAAUACUCUUUAGACAAUCCACACACCAAUUCACGACAGUCUUCAUUCAUACCUACUUCCAACAUAUGAACGACUGUGGCCCGUUCGAAUAAUUUGACUGUUCUUAACCAAUUAAAUUAUUCAGGAAGUCAAAACAUGCAAAGUGAAACACAAGAAUAAUACUAAUCCCAUAUGGCCUCAAACCUUUGAGUAUAAAUAAAACACCUUUUAUUUAUCACCAUAUCGAUUACUCAUUAUUUGUCGUUUCGGGUAAUCAACUUCUUACUUGAAUUAUUACACUUGUCCCAUGCUCCUAGCAUGCACACAAUGUUUACCUAUGGUUCUUACUUUGUGAAAUAGAUCAAAUUGAACACAUUUCCAAUCAUUCUCAUUUCACAACUCCAAAUCCUUUUUCAUAAGUGAAAGAAUAUCAAAUUCUUGCUACUUAUAGAAUAUGCUAGAUUCUAACAUUUUAUGCAAUGAUCCUUUCGUAAUGUCACUGCACCAAAGUCACAAAGACUAUUGCCAAUGAUAUUACAAAGUCCUCUAUCGGAGAUUGUUACAAGACAAUUCCUUAGAUAUGAUGUCUCUCACUCAAAGUACAUUCCUUUGAACAUCCUUUUGCAUAAAAGUUUCUAAUCUAGACAUAGAUUUUCAAUAUUCAAUUCCCAAUAUGGACACGUUUCCAUAUUUUCCAUAUGACAACUCAUUCUUAAUAGAAUCUUAUCUAUUCAUAAUAAUGUCGAUAUGGUCCAUCCAAUAUGGAAACAUUUCCAUAUUUUCCAAUACUAUACUUCCAACUACUCACAAGCGACCAAUCCUCGGCGAACUUUGGAUUGUCCUUUGAUAGUUGUUUAAUUAUCUUAGUCAAAACCGAUUCUUGUCCUUUUUCCCUCUAAAUGCGCUAGACAUUUGGAAAAUUUUAGAAUGGUCAAAUAUUAUAGCAUUUGCAAUCGAUCCUAUACCCGAAGCGUAUGGGACACGAUGCAUAAUGUUUUACAUAAAGAUUUGAUACUUUAUCAAUCUUCUGCCAUAAUAUUUUAUUUGCUAUGUUCUCAAAAUUCGAAUUGUGAAGAGGAAUGUCGUAAUCAUAAUCGAAAUUUUAAGAACACACUAUGUACCUUUGACUAAAUUUAUUAACAUUUCUCAACCUAAGCCUUUAGAUUUGAAAUGAAGCAUAAUAUUCUCUCCCUUAAUUAUAGCAAAACAACUUUACAACCCUUACGACUUUGCAAGGUAUAACUCUUGUUUUCUAUAAUUAAUAUUGCCAACUUGCAAUACGUGCCUUAAUAAUCAUACAAUCAUAACAUUUAUGCUCCCACUAUCAUGAUGAUUAUUAUAAACAUAACACUUAUGCUCCCACUAGCUUUGACAUGUAUUCAGAAACAACUUAACUUUCAGAAAAACAAUGCUUAUUGAAUUUCUUAAGUUCAUGUUUCUAAUACUUAGUGCUUUGAUAAUCUUUUAUCAAGGCUUCUUGAACUUAUACACCUUUGCCUUAGAUAGUUCAUAUGUGUGUCUAAACAAUUGCCAAACCUCACAAUUCAAAUUAUGGAAAGGGAUACCGUAACCAUAAUCGAAUUCGAGAAUGCAAUUUUACAAUCACUAUCUUCUUAAAAUCUUUCUUAGUGAAAGCAUUUCCUCACAAUCAUUUUCAUGAAGGAGGAAAUCUUAUGACACUUAGAUUUAAACGGUGUAUGUGUUCCUAUCCAUGUGAAUUUGUUAAAACCAAAGUUUACGACAAAUUCAAACUCAUAUGGACCGAACUUUCUUAAUCUUGAUUUCUUGCCUUAUGGUAGCACAGCUGCCCACCAUGUCUUCCAAGUAGUUAAGCAGCUCACCCUUUCCUAUCAAUGUACCUUUCAUUGAUUAAGGUGCUUUGCCUUUUAUGCGUUCAAAAUGAGAACUCAUAGAACUCACAUGCAUAAUUAACUCGAUUGGAUUGGCACAGAAACAAAAUAAUGUCAACACGAUAGGUUGUAAACCUCAACUCGUGUGCUAGUGAUGAUCGAUAAGGUUUAUUUGAUUUGUUCUUGAAACCUUUCAAGACCAUUAAGACUCCCACUGACUCCUUGACAUAUAAGAUUCUCUUGUCAAUAACCAUUUCUUGACAAACAAAUAUUCAAGAGUUAGUGUAGCUUUUAUCAAAACACUUCAUAAAUUGGUCCUAGUUGGUCUUUGUCUUAUCCAAGACAUCACAACUUUCCACAUUUGAUGAAUGUUAUAAACCUUCUUAAUACUUUUCACUCAAUGUCACAAUCUUAACUUUAAGACUUGUUAUUGGGACGAAGUAUGAUUGACUUCUUGAUUUAACCAUUUCUUCAAUUCUUGAUUCCUCUUCUUAGACAUACAAUUGUACUAAGACUCACUUAGAGGAUCAAUUGAGAUAUGGUUCUUAAUCAUUAAGACCUAUCAUAAAGCAUAAAAGGUACUCUCCCUUCUUCUUAGAAUGGAGAAACUUUUAUCUUUCUGCCUACUUGAUUCUUCUUAUUCGUUCUGCUAUUGAUUUAAACCUUUUCAAUCAAUUCAGAAUUACACUUAAUCUUAUAAGUAUAAUCAUAUUUACUAAACCUUUAGUAAAUCAUGACGAAUAUCUUUGUUACUCUUAUGGUGGACUUGAUCAACACGCAACUUUGUGUACUCGAUCUCCUAGUCCUUCACUUGACACUUUGUCAAUGAAUUAGUCUAAUUUCCAAAUAUGAAAUUUCUCAUUCAUCGUGCAACCAAGUUGCAUGAUUCCAAGUUUCUGUCCAAUUGAAACUUGGGCGAUGAGAAACUCUCCCUAUUUGGUAAAUUCUCGACUUUCCAUAAAUAACAUAAUAAGAACCAAAUCCAUUAUUGCUAAUAAUAGAAACAUUUUAACAUCAAUUUUUCAUACACGCCAUUGUAAGGAUAAAUAAAUAAAAUUUAAAAUCAAAAUUUAUUUUAUUGCGGAAAAAUUUGUCCUUACAAUGCAAUUCAUUGAAAAACUUAUGCUAAUACAUCUUUCUUAGCAAUCUAAUUCUAACUCUAAGUAGUAGCUCAAGAAUCUAAUCUUCGAGAAAUGCGAUCGAAAUCCAUUCCUUCACGGUUAGAUUCUGCUCACUUCUUCCCUUAAGCUUCCUUUCUUUUCUUCGAUCCUACAAAACAUCAAUUGUAAUCUUAUCACAUUAUGUAUUAAGAAUCUAGAAUAGAAGCUUAAAAGAGUUAGUUAAUGGAUUUUACCUAUAUUAGAGCCAUACGUUUCGACUCUCCCAUCUCUUAGAUCUCUUAGGUAAAUGGGGCAGCUUCGUCUCCAAUGCCCUUUCUCUUGGCAAUAAAAGCAAAUUGACUCUUUUGGAACAUGACAUGGAACUACUUCAGACAUUGCCUUUCUCUUAUGAUCAAACUUUUCGAUCAUAGCAUGUCUUUCGUUGCCAUUGUCUAUAUCCAUAGAGGUCUUGAAGGCAGAUUCACCAAUCAACUUUGCUUUUCUAUUGCGCCAAACCAUUGCUGAUUCAGCAGCAAUAAGCAUAUAGGUGAGAUCUAUAAGGGUCACGUCGUGGUUCAUCAUAUAGUACUCUCUUACGAACUCACUAUAUGAGUUAGGAAGUGACUGAAGAACCCAAUCAACAGCCAUUUCCUCACAGACAACGGAUCCCAACAUUCUUAACCUAUCAAUGUGUGACUUCAUCCCUAGGACGUGUGCACACACCGACUUUCCUUCUUUAUGUUUACUUGCCAAAAGGGCUUGAGUGAUCUUGAACUUUUCAAGCCUUUGAACUUGUGGGUUAGGGAGAAUAAUUGGAGGAGGUGGAGGAAGUGAAGCAUGAUUUCUUGUUCCUCGAUCGAAUCGUGGAAUAUCAUCUUCAUGUGGAAUGCUUGUUCCACGGGAUUUGGGAAGACCAUAGUUGUCGAACUUUGACAUCUACAAAACGGGAGAAAACGAAUUCAAGUUAGUUGAUUGAUUGAGUCCUUAGUAAAUCAUCCAAAUGAGAUACUAAGGCUAGGACCCAACACAAUAUGCUACAACUCGGGAGAGGGAUGCCGUAACCCAAAUUGCAGAACAUUUGAAGGUAAGUGAAUGACGAUUCACUAAUUUCCACCAUGAAAAACGAAAAAUAAAUUUAAGUUUUAAAUCUAUGAAAGCUCCUAGAUCCUAUGAGAUUCAUUGAACAUUUGUGACAAUCUUCAACUUCAAGUCAAGUCAAAGUCAUCAAGUCAAACCGAGUGACUUGUUUAACCUUGUGUAUUGGGGCGUACGUUAUGUAAUUACUGUAUAACUCACUAUUUUAAUGAGAAAACAUCACUUGGAAAGUUCAUGUGUUUAAAUUUCCUUAACCUUAGUGCUAAACAAUGAAAAAAAACAAUAAAACAAUGUUGCAUACUCAUUGGGAGUGUGCAAGAUCCUAAAACAUGGCUUAAUGGGGUCUACAGACCUUGUGUUGCAGAGCCAAACACUCACAAUUGUCACACAUGAAACCACUCUCAGUCGUUUCCACUCUAUCUCUCUUUAUAGUCAAAUCUCUCUAAGUAUGUGAAAUCUCUCCCAAAUAUCUCUUUGUAUGAGAAAUCUCUCCAAGAAUGUCAAAUCUCUCCCAAAUCUCUCUAAGUUUGUGAAAUCUCUCCCAAAUAUCUCUUUGUAUGAGAUAUUUCGCUUCUUUCUGGUUCGCUUCCUAAUGCCUUGCCUUCGCUUCGGACCCAGCAUCAGAAGGGACCGCACCUUCGGCCCCCUUCCGAGAAGCUUCGCUGUUAGCUAUUUUCUUUCCGGUUUUCGACUACGACGUCAUUUUAGCUCCGUUUUUAAUUAUUUUAACGCGGGGUUUUCACCCAAAAUCAUAUUUUAACAUAAUGAACCCUAAAUAUUCAUAAUUUAAUCAUAUUUUCAUGAAAAUCUUUAUUUAAAUAAUAAAAUCUAGUGGGUAAAGUACAAAGAGGUGGAGUGUUGACUUAGCUUUACUUUAUGACACAAGCAACCACUCCCACACCCACUCUAUGACCAGCCACACCUCCCCACCUUACCUAGGUCACUUCAAUGUCCUUUCCACUCAAUUAUCACCCUUUCCCACGUUUUAGAGCUGGAACAAACCAUUCUCUCUCCUCACUUCUCUCAUUUGCUCUCAUUUCACCAAGGAUCCAACUCCACUUUUCUCUCAAACUUUCUCCAUCAAAAUUCGAGAUUCAAGGCUGAGUAUCAAGCUUUCUCACAUUGUUGGUAAGUAUAAUUCACCCUCCUUGUGAUUAUUGCUCUUCAUUCUACUCAAAUCAUUGAUUUCUUACACAAACAUCAUCACAUUCUUGUUAAAUCUUCAAACCUUCAAGUGAUCCUCCCAAGUGUUCUUGAGUUGAACACUUCUUUUCUCCAUUAUCCAUUUACUGAAAUCACUCAAGGUGAGUUCAUACCCCUACAUUUUUAUGUUUUCUUAAGUUUUUAGGGGGGGGGGGGGAUACAAGUUAAAACAUCAAGAACAUAACUAAAAUUUUCUAACAGCUUUCAUUGGAAAAGUUGGACUCCAUUCAGGGACUGUUUUGGACAUCUUAAACAUUUUUGUUUGAGAAAUUGUUUUAGGUGAAAGUAGUUCCAGUUCUUAGCUUUAAAAUGAAUACUUGCACAUCUCCAUACGAUUUUUCUAAAAAUUAUGGUGAUUUUUACAAAACUGCCUAUCAUUUCAAACACCAAUCCGGACCAGUCUGGGAUUAUGGACUUUUUCACCCAAGUUGGAGGUCAUUAAAAAUCAUGAUAAAAAUUAUGAGUAAACUAGACACAUUUUGGGAACUCUCAGAAUUUACGGAUUUAGUUUUUGACUUCGUAUGAUUUUUCUAUGACUUUUCUAAAACAGCGCAGAAGGGUUAAAUUUAGUUAACAGCAUUAUAACUUUCAUGACACUUUGUAUUAUGUUGAGCAAAGUGUAUAACAAUAAGUUCUAAAUAUUGAAUGUGUUUCCUUGUUAGUUUAUCAUUAUAAACUGAAACUUAGUCAUUCAUGAUAAGAUUAUUCAUUCAUUGAGAACACGUAUAUUAAGCUAUAAUAAGCAUAAUUUAUGGAUUUAUAACACUAAUGUGUUUUCAUAAAACAGUUCUUAUACAUUACAAACAUUUCGGAUAGACUAUAAUAGGUAUAGUUUAUGUAUCAUUUACUUCUCAAACUUAUUUAUCAAAGGUUUUUCAGUUUUGUUCACGUGAAUCUGUUAAUGAAUAAAUUUGUGAGUCAUUCACUUCGGGUUACUUCCAAAGUAACAAAGUCAAAUCGUCCUGUAAAUUGUAACCAGAGUCUCUUGUAGGGAGAACGUGAUAGUUGUGUAUAGAUCUAUAUUGGGUUUGACAAACCCACACCAGAGCUGCUUGCAACAGCUAGACCGGCAGGUCUGUGGUGACAAGUGUCAUUUAACGGCGACGCCUGAAGAACGUCGUAUUACGAGGCCGUCUAUGUCAAGUAUGGUUAUGAUAGCUCACAUGUGGUAUUAACAAUCAUAAGAUUUACGGGUUCUAACUUUAAAUUAGCGAGUUAUGUCGAUUUAGCUCUCUGAAAUUACUUUAAGUAUGGAAAAAUANCUUAUGAACUCACCAACCAUUGUGUUGACACUUUUUCAAACUACUUGUAUUCUCAGGAAAUCGCUAAACAGGUAACAAAGUGCUUUUGAGGAUGGGACGUUGAGGCGUCAAACUUAUCAUAUUUUGUCAACAUAUUGUAAUUGAUUUUGAAACAUGCAAUUCAUACAAUGAUGUAACUCUUUCAAUUAUAUAUAUGUUGGUUGUGUUUACUUUCAUCACUAUUGCCAUUGUUGUUAUGACACUACACAUGAUGUCCUCCACCCCCGGACAUUUCCGCCAUCCUUGGUUUGGGGGUGUGACAGAUUGGUAUCAGAGCACGGUUUAUAGUGAAUUAAGUAUAUCAAACAACAUAGGAUAUACAAACUAUAAACACAAUUGGGAGUAAGAGUCUCUGAUUUUAAAACAACCUAACGGGUUAUACUUUUAGAAAAUGAAUAGAUUCUUGUUUAAAAGUAUAACUACAUGCAUUGCAUACUCGCGUAGUGUCAUAACUAGAAGAACAUAAACUAAAAGAAGAGGAGUUGAACGCUACGAGUAUGCCUUGGUAUGAGUAAUCAGUUUUGGGAAGGAUAUAGCCUGAUCAACUAUAUUCGUCCGGGAAGUGACUUACUCAUAUCGGGGGAUAGUCGUAGGAGGGAAACAAAUCUAAUAUCCUAACUUCACCCUACAAAGAAUGCUAUAAGAACCAAAUCUAAACAUUUAAAAUACUAUAGGAGUAUUUGUAUGUUGCUAUAUCGCAAUAUUAUUAAUAUUAACCGCUAUCUGCUUCUUACACCCCUAUUCUCGCGCAGACAACAUGGAAGGAUUUCACCUACCAGGAGACCCAUACUUUCCCAGUCAAGGAAAUGCCGGCUGGAUUGAAGAGGAUCCCGAAGAAGAACCCGAAGAGGAAGAAAAGGAGGUAGACGAAGAAGAAGAAGAAGAAGAGGAAGACGACGAGGUGGACAUGGAUGAGGACGAAGGUGAAGAAGAGACAGAGGAUGAAGUCUUCAACCAUCUUUACAUCGCGAGGGUACCUGCAAACCGUUGGGGGCACAACGGGCCUGAACCCCAUUGGGCAACAACAAUCGAAAGGUGGAGCCGACAACAGCGCCAACGGUCACCAUAUGGCGACCAACGAGGUUACUAUGACCUCAGUCACGGGGGUUCGGCUGACAGAGCUCUCCCUGUUAUGACCCAGCAUAUCACGAACUUGGGGAACCAGAGUAGGGAAAUGGCAGACCAAGUUCGAAGUCUCAGCGCUAUUACGUCAGCCACCGAUGCACGCACCCGGGAUCUGGAGAGGGACUUCUAUCCAGUGGACCAAAUAAUUGAGGAUCUUACCACUGCUCGAGUGGAGGUAAGGGAGUACCAGGAGAGGCACGCAGCUCUCGAUGAGAGAGUGAUCGUGGCCGAACGCCGGAUUGCGGAGCUUCAGGGAGCCUCGACCUCAUCUCAGGGCCACCAUGAACCAGAUACCACCCGCCGCGAUUAGUGUUCACACUGCUCAUGUUUUGUUAUAAAUCUAGGAUUUUGAGUAUGCGUUGGUGCUACUCUUUAUUGCGAAUAGGUUGACCCCACGACUAAGUGAUUACACUAGUCAAAGGGGCUUUUGUACUGCCAAAACUUUAUCUUUUAUUAUGAUGUAAUGUAGACCCUUGUGAGGUCAAAUUUCUCAAAACAAUAUGUACUAACAAAUUAUCAAUGAAUGUGGCAUGUAUUUUACUUCCUUGGAUGCUGACACGAACCAAACACGUGACUCUGCUCGGGUCAACACUAUUUAAUUCAUAAGUUUAAUUGCAUAAACUUUUUGAUGAAUUACCUUCUAAAUUAAUAAACUCAGAUAAAAUACAAUUGAGAUGAAACUAGUAACACUCGACUCGUUAUCACCAUUGAAGUCUUACCGACAAGUAUUUUCUUUUUAUUUUUAUGUCAAAACCAUGCCACCAAGGAAAAGACCAAGACCUUCCGGAAACUCAGCACCACCCCCUCCGCCACCACCUCCAGAGUUUGAUCCUGUGAUGUUUCAGGCUGAAGUAACAGCAGCCGUGGCGGCAGCAAUGUCGCANACAAAUGGUUUCAGCGGUUCCGGAUCCGGGAAUACUAACUCGAAUCAGGGGGACAACACGGCGCAUACUAAGGAGUGUUCUUACAAAGACAUCACGAAUGGCAAACCCGAUCCUUUCGACGGAAGCGGGGGCGUCAUAGCGCUGAUGCAAUGGUUCGAAAGGACCGAAGCAAUCUUCGAAAUCAGUGCUUGUCCUGAAGCAAGCAAGGUCAAGUAUGCUGCAUUCACUUUCACAAGAAAAGCUCUUACUUGGUGGAAUGGCCGAGUUAAGUCACUUACUCCUGCAGUGGCUAACUCCAUAGGCUGGGGAAAAUUAAAAACGUUGAUGCUAAAGGAGUAUUGCNGAGUAUUGCCCGAGGGGAGAAAUACAAAAACUCGAAGAAGAACUCUGGAAUCUCAAGAUGUCGGGGACGGAUCUCGAAGCUUAUACCGCCCGAUUCAAUGACCUAGCACUCCUCUGUCCUGCAAUGGUCACUCCGGAGGAGAAAAAGGUAGAACGAUACCUUUGGGGGCUAUCAUCCCAGAUUCAUGAUAGUGUUCUGGCCUCGAAACCUACUACCUUUGAGAGUGCCAAGGAAUUGGCACAACAACUUAUCGAUCAUAGGGCCAGCCGUGGCACCAUGGUCGCCACCACCGACCAAACAAAAGGAGGGAACAACAAGAGGAAGUUCUGGAAUAGUAAAAAGAAACAACCGGCGCAGGACCCCACAAAGAAGCAACAGACUGUUGCUGUCCGUGCAGCGACUACUGCUACCGCUCCAGUGCCACCAAAGCAAUACGCGGGAAGUCUUCCCAAGUGCAACAAGUGCAACUUGCACCAUACCGGUACUUGUCAGGAAAUGCACUACAGUAAUUGCAACCGGAAGGGGCACACUGCUCGAUUUUGUAAAGUGCCAGCCCAAUCCGCCCCUCAAGUCACCCCAGCCGCCAACACCGGAGCAAGUCAAACCUGUUACAGCUGUGGAGAGGCAGGGCACUUCAAAAGAAAGUGCCCAAAAGCAUGAAACACCAAUGCUGGAGGUGUAGGGAGAGUCAUGACGAUGGGACACGGAGAAGCAGUCAAGGACCCCUCGGUGGUUUCUGGUACGUUUCUCCUCAAUAACACAUAUGCAUGCGUACUAUUUGAUAGUGGAGCAGAGAGGAGCUUUGUGAGCCAUCAUUCAAACAAUUACUAAAACAAACCCCUCAUUCAUUAAAAGAUACAUACGUAGUAGAAAUGGCUAAUGGGAAAGAAGAGCACACUAAUGAUAUAUACUCAGGGUGUACCCUCACUCUAGAUAACCAUUCGUUUAAAGUAGACCUGAUGCCGGUCACAAUAAAAUGUUUUGAUAUAAUCAUCGGUAAGGAUUGGUUAAGUUCCCAUCGUGCCGACAUUCUAUGUUACGAAAGGGCCGUUCGCCUUAAUCUGCCAUAUGGCGAAACCCUCUUCAUCUAUGGCGAAAAACCCAGUUCAAAUUUGCAAAUCAUCUCUUGCGUCAAGGCCCAAAAGUAUCUCUGAAAGGAAUACCACGUAUUUCUAGCCCACGUAGUAGAUACGAAACAAGAGGUGAAGGAUAUCAACGACAUUCCCGAGGUGUACAGCUACCCCGAUGUAUUCCCCGAAGAUCUUCUAGGUGUACCCCAUGCACGACAACUCGAAUUCCGGAUCACCUUAAUUCCAGGAGCUACCCCCAUCGCCAAAGCUCCAUACCGCUUAGCACCGGCAGAAAUGCAAGAACUUUGCAGCCAGUUAAAUGAACUAUUGAGCAAAGGAUUUGUCACAACUAGAAAUUUUGUGUCUUGUAAUCACUACACUCAAGUAAAAUGUACAAUCAAAAACUUAAGAGCAUGUAUGAUGCUUACUCUAUGACAACAAAACUUCAAUCCAAUACACCAUACAAGUACUACAAAUAGUCAACAAGCAAUUGGAAACCCUAGAAGUUCUUGUUAGGUCCAUUUUGGGCUAGGACUUCCUUAUUGGACUCAUUGGACCAAUAAGCUUCCAAUUUGACUAUCAUGGGAUUAGAACCUUUAAAUGGGCUCUAAUUAGAUCCACAUUCAUUUAUUUCAACAUUUUGGGCCAUAUUGGGCCUAGAAUGAAAUAAAUUAAAUAUUAUGAACCAUAAUUAACCUAAACUAGCCCAACAAAGUAUAAAAAUCACACUUAUAUUUUAUAGGGCCAACAAUCAUCAAACCUAACUCUAGUAUGGGCUUAGGGGCAAUAAAGCCCAAAAAUCUUUUCCUUCUCUUCAAAUUUCGGCCCAAGCCCAUGAAGAAGGAAGAGUUGACCUUCAUAGCCACCUCAUUUUUGCAUGUUGGUUCUCCAUGCAACCUAUCCCAAACUUCCAUGUACAUGUCAUCUCAAGAUCUACUUCUUCUCCCUCUCUCUCAUUCUCGGCUGAACACACACACAUACAAUCAUCAAAAAUUCAUUUCAUCCUCUCUAAGUUUUGAAGAACAUCUCCUCCCUCCUUCUUCUAAAUUUUCGAGAUUUAAGGUCAUUCCAAGGAGAUUUUUCACAAGGACUACCAUCCAAGGUAAGUUUAUACUUAAAUCUAUGAUCUAGGUUCCUUGAUUUAUCAAACAUCUCAUCUUAACUCAUAAAAAUUUAUGGUCUAACUCCCUAGAACCAUCUAAGUCCGAAAAUCUCCUCAAGAAGUUGCUAGGGCCGAAAACAACAUCAAACUUCUUCCAUUCUCCUCCAAAACCGAAACCACACCCAAAGGUGAGCUUCAUACCCCCUAUUUUUCGGUUUUUAUAAGUUUUGUGGGGGGGGGGAAUACAAGCAAAUGUGUAGAUCUAUGAGUAUAUGUAUGCUUUGUAUGAUUUCUAUGUUUGUUUACAUGUUCUUAUGUGAUUAUGGUGUUGAAACUAGUCAAAAAGUCCUUAAAAUCGAGAUUUGCAUUAGGAUGUAUGAAACAAGUGUUAAACAUAUUAUUACACACAAAUCAUUUCUAGAAAAAUAACCAAGUUGGUUAAUAUGAACUCAUUGGGCUAAAAAUCCCAUUUUUGGACUCAAAAUGUUAAAAAUAUAAGGUUAAAGGGCCCAAAAUGACAAAAUACAAAUUCUGAUGGAUGAAAUGAGUCAAAACAGUUUCAAUAAGGUAUUUUUCUGGAAAUAUUCUCUUUGAAGGAUUAAAUGUGAAAUUUUUAAGCAUAAUGGGCCAAAAAUGAAUUUUUCGGCCCAAUAAAGCCCAAUAUGCGAGAUUUUCAAAUUAGAGGGGCUGAAACUGUGAUUUUCUGUAAAACAGGGGACUACUAGUGCUCCAAGUCCAUUUCAAGGGUUAAAAAUGCUUUUCAUAUUUAAAAGGGACCAAAGAUGCAAAAAUUUUCUAUUUUGGGCCAAAAGUGUAAAAACUGCGAAAAUAAGGGUUUCAGCCGAGAAAAAUUUCAUUUGAUGGACUAAAACUGUUUUUCAAAUAACUUUGAGCUGAAAAAUAACUUUUCUACAAGUUUUGAUACUAAAGUGUCAAGAAAAAUGGUUUGAGGACUAAAAUAGAAAUUUAUUUUAUACAAAGGGUUAAAUGUGUAAAUUAUCCAAAAGAAAGGGGCUGCAAUAAUGAAACAUCCUAAUGUUUUAAAUAAUAAAUCCGUCAUGAUGAAAUACUAGCACCUCGACUAUCGGCAAAUUAUAAUACACCUUCAACACCAAAAUCGUUAUCAAACGAAUUGAUUCGGUCUCGAAUCAAUAGUGAAUCCGAAAUUACUAACACGACGAAACUUCAAUACACACGCGGAAAUUUCGGGAAGUCAAUACACACGUGAGAAUACACCAGACGUCGAUACACCGUCUUUGGGCCCAAAAGUUUCAAAUCGUGUUUGUUGGGCCUAGCUAGCCCAAUGACAUGAUCUUUAGGCCCGAAGGAAACUCGCUUACAUGUAGUUGGGUCUUAUAUGACCUAAUUUCGUGUAAAAGGACUUUUACAGGCUUUGUGCUGUUGGACCCCAAGGGCCCUCUGGUGCUGCUAGUAAAGUCGAGAAUUCACCAAAUGCGAGUCGGGCUAAGGGCCCUUCGCAUUCACGAUAGCCUUGAACGACUUACGGAAAAUAUCGGGACUUCGCACCCUCUUUUCCUCCUCGGUUGUGGGGCUACAUGAAGUCCGGGUGUUUGGAUUAAGUGAAUAGUGCGAGCGACGCCUAAGGGAUCGUUUGUAUGGUUGUAAACUAGUCAUUUUCAUUAAUGUGUGUUUAUAACAAUUCACAAUCCAUAAUUAAUCCAACGUCACCGGGACUCAACGAAUACACCCGUCGUAACGAAAUAACAAGAUAUAAAUCAUUUGAUGCAAAGUAUUAGGAAAACAUCGGGUUUUCCUAGGGUUUUCAAUUAAUACACCUACGAGUUACAUACCGAGUUUUACAAAUUGUACUUUUACAUUUAUAGAAACAAACAAGCAUACUUACGGAUCUUCACACUUUUUAUACUAAGUUCUUUUCAGAAAAUAUCGGAUUUUCUGGUGAUUUUCAAAACAAUACAAACCACUAUAUUUCAAACAUUACUUAUGAACUCACCAACAUUUCAUAUGUUGACGUUUUUCAAAAUACUUGUAUUCUCAGGUAACAGGUAAAUCGAAAAGGAAAAAUGUACACAGUAACGUCUUGCUGUUGUUUUAAUUAGUACCGAACAAUUUACUUUUGGGCAUGUAAUAUUAUGGAUCAAUGUACCGAAUGUAAAUGCUACCAGUUGUAAUAUUCCAAUGCUUGGUAUUGUAUGAUGUUAUGUUUCAUGUAUAUUCAUUGUGAUGGUAUUCAAUUGAGUCACAAUAGCCCUCGGACGUUUCCGCCGUCUGGUUCGGGGGUGUGACAUGUUGGUAUCAGAGCUCUGUUUAUAGUGAACUAGCAUAUCGAACCAUACAUUGAUAUGCAACUAUAAACCAAAAGAGGGACUAACAUAACUCUGAACAAAACAAGUAAAAUACAACAAUAAAACACCUUUGCUUGCAUUAGGAACAAGGAACAUAACGCCGAACCAAACAAAAUAAUGCUAGUAUCUCGGUUAAUUCAGGACUGUUCUUAGUGGUACCAAGGAGUGGAUGUAGCCUGAUCAACUACAUUCUCUCCAAAGUAUAACUAACACACGUUCUGAUGAGAUCGGGAUAGCUAGGGAACCUAAAACUAUACCCCUUUAUCACCAAAAAGAGAACGNGAAUGUCUGUUUAGUCUGCAAUAGUGGAAGAGGCAUAGGAUAAUAUUAGCGAACUUUUACGUGUUUUGCUAUGUGUUGCGAAUCUCUGAUUGUAUGCUAAAUGAUUGAAGUACUUAAGUUCGUGCUAUACACCUAGUCAGCAGGACCACAACCUCACGGAAACCACAUGCACUCAACAUCUUUCCGUUUCGUGAGAAGAACAUGCCUCGCCGACCUACUCGCGGAAACCCUGGACCAACCCCACCCGAAGUUGAAUCCACUGCAUUCCAGACGGCCGUGUCUGCUGCGGUCACCGCAGCUAUGGCACAACUUCACCAAGGGAAUAACGGAGGAGGCAACGGGCAAGGGGCCGGGAGUUCGAACAACGAGAUGAAUCAAGGACCCACCAAAACAUGUACCUACAAGGACUUUACAAAUGCCAAACCACGAACUUUUAACGGCACUGGAGGAGUGAUCACUCUGAAGCGAUGGAUCGAGAAGGUGGAAUCGGUAUUCGAGAUAUGCGAUUGUCCUGAGGAGAUGAAAGUGAAGUUCGCAGCCUGCACUUUUGUCGACCAAGCGCUCACAUGGUGGAACGGACACGUGGAAGCCAUGACACUCCCUGUAGCCAACUCCAUGUCGUAGUCGGAAAUGAAAGAAAUGUUAAUGGCUGAAUACUGCCCAUGAGGUGAGAUUCAGAAAAUGGAGCAAGAGCUGUGGAACCUCACUGUGCAGAAUGCGAAUAUCGAUGCCUACAUAUCGAGAUUUAGUGAACUAUCUCUGUUGUGCCCGGGUAUGAUCACCUCGGAAGGAAAGAAGAUUGAGCGAUUCAUCUGGGGACUAACAUCACCAAUCCAAGGAAAUGUGAUAGCUGCAAACCCCGAAACAUUUGACAGUGCAAAAAGAUUGGCGAAGAAGCUGUAUGACCAUAACAACAAAAAGGGUGAGAAGCCAGCGGAGGCUGAAGGAAAGAAGGAAGGUGUUGGCAAGAAAGGGAAGAACAACAAGAGGAAGGGGCGUUAGUGCCCCAAGACCUCUAAAAAGCAGCAGACAGUGGCAGUUAAUGCUGUCACCGCACCGGUUCCAGGCACACCACAUGCUCCAGCCUCAGCUGCUUCAAAUGCUCCCAGACCUUAUUCCGGUAAUCUUCCCAAGUGCAACAAAUGCGGUUUCCAUCACAAUGGAGAAUGCAAGGAGUUUCAGUGUACCAGUUGUAACCGAAGGGGACACACGGCGAAGUACUGCAGGAGCUACCCUCCCCAGAACCAACAACAAAGAAACAGCAACAACAACAACAAUCUCAACAACAACAACAUCACUACUGGCGGCCACAAUGUAGGGCCUAGCCACACCUGUUAUGGGUGUGGGAGGACCGAGCAUUUUCGCUGAAACUGCCCUAACAACAACAAUCCAGGAAACGGAGGAACAGGAAGGAUGCUGACCAUGGGUCAGGGAGAGGCGAUUCAGGACCCCGCUGUUGUUACCGGUACGUUUCCCCUAAACCACACUUAUGCAUGCAUCCUAUUUGACACCGGAGCGGAGCGAAGUUUCGUAAGCAAUAAGUUUAAACAUUUAUUAAAACAACAGCCCCAGAAGCUAAAUGAAACCUUUACGGUGGAAAUGGCCAAUGGGAAAACCGAAUCCACUAGGGAAAUCUACAUCGGAUGUACCCUAACCCUCAAUCAACACGUCUUUCGAAUAGACUUAAUGCCUGUAACAAUUAGGAGUUUCGAUGUGAUUAUUGGCAUGGACUGGUUAAGCCCCCACCAUGCUGAAAUUAUGUGUCACGAGAAGGCCGUUCGCCUUCGCCUUCCUAAUAACGAAACCCUAGUAAUUUACGGAGACAAACCUAGCAUGAACCUUCGCCUCAUCUCGUGCAUCAAGGCACAAAAACAUCUACGAAAGAACAAUUUGGCGUUCCUGGCUCACAUAGUGGAUAAAAUCAAGGAAGAGGUUACCGUUCAAGACAUUCCCAUAGCAUGUGAGUUCCCAGACGUGUUUCCUGAAGAUCUUCCAGGAGUACCCCCAGAGAGACAAAUGGAGUUCCGAAUUGACCUCGUUCCAGGAGCAACUCCUCUCGCUAAAUCACCCUAUCGGCUAGCUCCUGCUGAAAUGCAGGAAUUGUCCAGCCAACUCAGUGAACUCUUGGACAAGGGAUUCAUCCGCCCUAGUUACUCGCCAUGGGGAGCUCCAGUCCUCUUUGUCAAAAAGAAGGACGGAUCUUUUAGAAUGUGCAUCGAUUACAGAGAGUUAAAUAAACUCACUGUUAAAAAUCGCUACCCACUCCCACGAAUCGAUGAUCUAUUUGACCAGCUCCAAGGAGCUAGUUAUUUUUCUAAGAUAGAUCUACGGUCCGGAUACCACCAACUCAAAGUCCGGGAAGAGGAUAUUCCAAAAACCGCUUUCCGAACUCGCUACGGACAUUAUGAAUUUGUCGUAAUGCCCUUCGGUCUAACAAAUGCCCCUGCCGCAUUUAUGGACCUGAUGAACCGAAUCUGUCGACCAUUCCUCGACAACUUUGUCAUCGUCUUCAUUGAUGACAUUCUCGUCUAUUCCCGAAGCGAAGAAGAGCAUGGCCAACAUCUCCGACAAAUCCUAGAAACUCUGCGAUCGGAAAAGCUAUACGCAAAACUCUCCAAGUGUGAGUUCUGGCUCCGGAGUGUGAACUUCCUAGGUCAUGUAGUUAGCCAAGAUGGAAUUCAUGUGGAUCCCUCUAAGGUCAAAGCUGUUGAAGGAUGGGCAAUCCCGACAACACCCACGGAAAUCCGUCAAUUCUUGGGUCUAGCAGGCUACUAUAGGAGAUUCAUUCAAAACUUCUCUAAGAUCGCCAAGCCACUUACCUCGCUUACACAAAAGGGCGUACCAUUCAAAUGGACGGACAAACAAGAAGUCGCAUUCCGAACCCUGAAACAAGCUCUCUGUAGUGCCCCGGUACUAUCACUACCGGAGGGAACGGAAGACUUCGUGGUCUACUGUGACGCGUCAAAUCAGGGCUUAGGUUGCGUUCUCAUGCAGCGUGGAAGGGUGAUAGCUUACGCAUCCCGCCAACUAAAGACGCACGAAGUGAAUUAUACGACCCAUGACCUAGAAUUGGGAGCCGUGGUCUUUGCCCUAAAAAUUUGGAGGCAUUACCUUUACGGUACGAAGUGCACCAUCUUCACGGACCACAAGAGUCUCCAGCACAUCUUGAACCAGAAGGAGUUGAACAUGAGGCAACGAAGAUGGGUUGAAUUACUAAACGAUUACGAGUGUGAGAUCAAGUACCACCCAGGCAAGGCCAACGUGGUAGCUGACGCAUUAAGUCGGAAAGAGUACUCUAAUCGUCGUACGAAAACUCUCUCAAUAACCAUCCAAUCUCACCUAGCCACUCAAAUUGCAGUAGCCCAGUCAGAGGCCAUGAAGACGGAAAAUAGAGCAAGCGAAGCAUUGCGCGGAAUGGAGAAGAACCUAGAAGCAAAGGAGAAUGGAGUAUACUAUUUCAUGAACCGUAUUUGGGUCCCUAAACUCGGAGGAUUUAGGGAGGUAGUUAUGAAGGAAGCCCAUAAGACGCGAUACUCCAUUCAUCCCGGCUCAGACAAGAUGUAUUUGGAUGUUAAACAACACUAUUGGUGGCCCAACAUGAAGGCGGAAAUUGCCACCUAUGUUAGUAAGUGCCUUACGUGUGCCAAGGUAAAGGUGGAGUACCAGAAGCCCUCAGGGUUAUUACAGCAACCGGUAAUCCCUGAGUGGAAAUGGGAGGGGAUUUCUAUGGAUUUCGUGACCAAGCUACCGAAGACGUCAGAUGGACUAGACACCAUAUGGGUAAUAGUUGACCGACUGACAAAAUCUGCCAAUUUCCUGCCCAUAAAGGAAUUCUACAAGAUGGAAAGAUUGACACAUUUAUACAUUCGAGAAAUCGUNNNNNNNNNNNNNNNNNNNNNNNNNNNNNNNNNNNNNNNNNNNNNNNNNNNNNNNNNNNNNNNNNNNNNNNNNNNNNNNNNNNNNNNNNNNNNNNNNNNNCCCCCCAUGGACUCGACGAGUCCAGCAGUCAGACAGCAAGUUUGUCGACCUUCUUGAACUUUUUAGCACAAAUAACAAACAAACAAGCCUAGGCUCUGAUACCACUGAUGGGUUUUGAGCAUUCUAACACUUCCUAAGUGUACAUGCAACCCUAAUAACCUUGNNNNNNNNNNNNNNNNNNNNNNNNNNNNNNNNNNNNNNNNNNNNNNNNNNNNNNNNNNNNNNNNNNNNNNNNNNNNNNNNNNNNNNNNNNNNNNNNNNNNNNNNNNNNNNNNNNNNNNNNNNNNNNNNNNNNNNNNNNNNNNNNNNNNNNNNNNNNNNNNNNNNNNNNNNNNNNNNNNNNNNNNNNNNNNNNNNNNNNNNNNNNNNNNNNNNNNNNNNNNNNNNNNNNNNNNNNNNNNNNNNNNNNNNNNNNNNNNNNNNNNNNNNNNNNNNNNNNNNNNNNNNNNNNNNNNNNNNNNNNNNNNNNNNNNNNNNNNNNNNNNNNNNNNNNNNNNNNNNNNNNNNNNNNNNNNNNNNNNNNNNNNNNNNNNNNNNNNNNNNNNNNNNNNNNNNNNNNNNNNNNNNNNNNNNNNNNNNNNNNNNNNNNNNNNNNNNNNNNNNNNNNNNNNNNNNNNNNNNNNNNNNNNNNNNNNNNNNNNNNNNNNNNNNNNNNNNNNNNNNNNNNNNNNNNNNNNNNNNNNNNNNNNNNNNNNNNNNNNNNNNNNNNNNNNNNNNNNNNNNNNNNNNNNNNNNNNNNNNNNNNNNNNNNNNNNNNNNNNNNNNNNNNNNNNNNNNNNNNNNNNNNNNNNNNNNNNNNNNNNNNNNNNNNNNNNNNNNNNNNNNNNNNNNNNNNNNNNNNNNNNNNNNNNNNNNNNNNNNNNNNNNNNNNNNNNNNNNNNNNNNNNNNNNNNNNNNNNNNNNNNNNNNNNNNNNNNNNNNNNNNNNNNNNNNNNNNNNNNNNNNNNNNNNNNNNNNNNNNNNNNNNNNNNNNNNNNAUUAUAGCUUAAUAUACGUGUUCUAAAUGAAUGAAUAAUCUUAUCAUGAAUGACUAAGUUUCAGUUUAUAAUGAUAAACUAACAAGGAAACACAUUCAAUAUUUAGAACUUAUUGUUAUACACUUUGCUCAACAUAUUACAAAGUGUCAUGAAAGUUAUAAUGUUGUUAACUAAAUUUAACACUUCUGCGCUGUUUUAGAAAAGUCAUAGAAAAAUCAUACGAAGUCAAAAACUAAAUCCGUAAAUUCUGAGAGUUCCCAAAAUGUGUCUAGUUUACUCAUAAUUUUUAUCAUGAUUUUUAAUGACCUCCAACUUGGGUGAAAAAGUCCAUAAUCACAGACUGGUCCGGAUUGGUGUUUGAAAUGAUAGGCAGUUUUGUAAAAAUCACCAUAAAUUGUAGAAAAAUCGUAUGGAGAUGUGCAAGUAGUCAUUUUAAAGCUAAGAACUGGAACUACUUACACCUAAAACAGUUUUUCAAACAAAAAUGUUUAAGUUGUCCAAAACAGUCCGUGAAUGGAGUCCAACUUUUCUGAUGAAAGCUGUUAGAAAAAUUUAGUUAUGUUCUUGGUGUUUUAACUUGUAUUCCCCCCCUAAAAACUUAAGAAAACAUAAAAAUGUAGGGGUAUGAACUCACCUUGAGUGAUUUCAGUAUAUGGAUGAUGGAGAAAAGAAGUGUUCAACUCAAGAACACUGGGAGGAUCACUUGAAGGUUCGAAGAUCUAACAAGAAUGUGAUGAUGUUUGAGUAAGAAAUCAAUGAUUUGAGUAGAAUGAAGAGCAAUAAUCACAAGAAGGGUGAAUUAUACUUACCAACAAUGUGAGAAAGCUUGAUACUCAGCCUUGAAUCUCGAAUUUUAAUGGAGAAAGUUUGAGAGAAAAGUGGAGUUGGAUCCUUGGUGAAAUGAGAGCAAAUGAGAGAAGUGAGGAGAGAGAAUGGUUUGUUCCAGCUCUAAAACGUGGGAAAGGAUGAUAAUUGUGUAGAAAGGACAUUGAAGUGACCUAGGUAACGUGGGGAAGUGUGGCUAGUCAUAGAGUGGGUAUGGGAGUGGUUACUUGUGUCAUAUGGUAAAGCUAAGUCAACACUCCACCUCUUUGUACUUUACCGACUAGAUUUUAUUAUUUAAAUAAAGAUUUUCAUGAAAAUAUGAUUAAAUUAUGAAUAUUUAGGGUUCAUUAUGUUAAAAUAUGAUUUUGGGUGAAAAAUCCCGCGUUAAAAUAAUUAAAAACGGAGCUAAAAUGAAGUCGUAGUCGAAAACCGGAAAGAAAAUAGCUAACAGCGAAGCUUCUCGGAAGGGGGCCGAAGGUGCGGUCCCUUCUGAUGCUGGGUCCGAAGCGAAGGCGAGGCAUUAGGAAGCGAACCAGCAAGAAACGAAAUAGACCGAAGUGUACAGUACCUUCGAGUUCGGGUGGGCAUGCGAGGUUCGGGCCCAAGAGGACCCUUCGGGUUCGAUUCUCAGCAGGUUCGGGUUCGGCUCAGGAGGGUUCGGUCCCUAUGAGGACUUUCGGCCCUAAGAGGGGUUUCGGGUCCUUAAGAGGGGUUUCAUGUCCUCAAACAUAUUUUACUCGUUUUUACCCCGUUUCAAGCCGUUUUUGACCCGGUUAAGGGUCGGAAUGUCCCGAAUGACUUCAAAAAGUUAAUAGAAAUUUUGAGAGAGAUUUGGGAGAGAUUUCACAUACUUAGAGAGAUUUGGGAGAGAUUUGACAUUCUUGGAGAGAUUUCUCAUACAAAGAGAUAUUUGGGAGAGAUUUCACAUACUUAGAGAGAUUUGGGAGAGAUUUGACAUUCUUGGAGAGAUUUCUCAUACAAAGAGAUAUUUGGGAGAGAUUUCACAUACUUAGAGAGAUUUGGGAGAGAUUUGACAUUCUUGGAGAGAUUUCUCAUACAAAGAGAUAUUUGGGAGAGAUUUCACAUACUUAGAGAGAUUUGGGAGAGAUUUGACAUUCUUGGAGAGAUUUCUCAUACAAAGAGAUAUUUGGGAGAGAUUUCACAUACUUAGAGAGAUUUGACCAUAUAGAAAGAUAGAGUGGAAACGACUGAGAGUGGUUUCAUGUGUGACAAUUGUGAGUGUUUGGCUCCGCAACACAAGGUCAGUAGACCCCAUUAAGCCAUGUUUUAGGAUCUUACACACUCCCGAUGAGUAUGCAACAUUGUUUUAUUGUUCUUGUUCAUUGUUUAGCACUAAGGUUAAGGAAAUUUAAACACACGAACUUUCCAAGUGAUGUUUUCUCAUUAAAAUAGUGAGUUAUAUAGUAAUUACAUAACGUACGCCCCAAUACACAAGGUUAAACAAGUGUCUCAUCGGUCAGGCACUUCUUCAGGUUCGAUACGUGAAAGGUGGGAUGUACCUUAUCGAGUUCUUGAGGUAAUCGAAGUUUGUAUGCCACUGGUCCAAUUCUGGCAAGGAUUUUAAAUGGACAAAUAUACCUUGGAUUUAGUUUCCCACGUUUUCCAAAACGUAUCAUUCCUUUCCAAGGGGAAAAUUUUAGUAGCACUCGAUCACCAACCUGGAAUUCCAAAGGUUUGUGCCGCUUAUCCGCGUAACUCUUUUGCCGAUCUCGGGAGGCCUUCGACUUUCUCGGAUUUGAACAAUCUUUUCUGUGGACUCCCUUAUGGUUUCAGGACCAGUGAGGGUGCUAUUAGGACUUGCCCACUAGCUAGCUGAGUAUCCCCCACUUCGGCCCAACACAGGGGUGAUCUGCACUUGCGACCGUAGAGAGCUUCGAAUGGAGCAACCUUAAUGCUAGUGUGAUAGCUGUUAUUGUAGGAGAAUUCAAUCAGCGGUAAAUGGGUAUCCCAUGCUUUACCAAAGUCUAUCACACAGGCUCUCAACAUGUCUUCAAAUGUUUGUAUAGUGUGCUCGCUUUGCCCGUCGGUUUGUGGAUGGUAGGCCGUACUCAUGUCUAGCCUAGUUCCCAAGGAUUUCUAUAGGGACUGCCAAAAUCGCGAAGUGAAUCUACUAUCUCGGUCGAAGAUAAUGGAUAUUGGUACACCAUGCAUUCGCACAAUCUCCUUGAUGUAUGUCCUGGUUAACUUCUCCAUCUUGUCGGUUUCCUUUAUUGGCAGGAAGUGCGCAGACUUGGUCAAUUUGUCUACGAUUACCCAUAUGGUGUCAAACCCACCUAGAGUCUUAGGUAGCUUGGUUAUGAAGUCCAUGGUUAUCCGUUCCUACUUCCAUUCCGGUAUAUCAGGUUGUUGUAGUAGUCCUGAGGGUUUCUUGUAUUCCACCUUGACCUUGGCGCAAGUCAGACACUUGCCCACAUAAGUAGCAAUCUCGACGUUCAUGUUCGGCCACCAGUAUAGCUUUUUGAGGUCUAGAUACAUCUUAUCUGACCCUGGAUGGAUGGAGUAUCGAGUCUUAUGUGCUUCAUUCAUGACCACGUCUCGGAUCCCACCGAACUUCUGUUUUCAGAUUUGGUUACUGAGAUAACGAGUUCCGUCAUCCUUAACUUCUAAGUUCUUAUCCAUUCCCCUUAAUGCCUCACCUGCCACAUUCUCUGGUUUCAAGGCUUCUAGUUGAGCUUCCCUGAUUUGCGUGGCUAGGUGGGAAUGGAUGGUCAUGGUUAAGGAUCUUACUUGGCGGUCCGAAUAUUCCUUCCUGCUUAGGGCAUCAGCCACUACAUUGGCCUUGCCCGGGUGGUAGCGAAUUUCGCACUCGUAGUCGUUUAGCAGUUCAACCCAUCUUCGUUGCCGCAUGUUGAGCUCUUUUUGAUUGAGGAUAUGCUGAAGACUUUUGUGAUCGGUGAAGAUGGUACAUUUUGUGCCGUAGAGGUAGUGCCUCCAAAUCUUUAAAGCGAACACUACCGCUCCCAAUUCAAGGUCAUGGGUAGUGUAAUUAACUUCGUGUGUUUUAAGUUGUCUUGACGCGUAGGCGAUGACUUUUCCUCUCUGCAUGAGCACGCAUCCGAGGCCUUGAUUUGAAGCAUCGCAAUAUACCACGAAGUCAUCAGUUCCUUCUGGAAGAGACAAAACUGGUGCGCUGCACAGGGCUUGUUUUAACGUCUGGAAGGCGGUUUCUUGUUUAUCUCCCCACUUAAAUACCACACCUUUUUGAGUCAGGGUGGUGAGUGGUUUGGCGAUCUUGGAGAAGUUUUGUAUGAAUCUUCGGUAGUAGCCGGCGAGCCCAAAAAAUUGUCGAAUUUCUGUCGGCGUUGUAGGUGCUGACCAGUUUUCGAUAGCUUUGAUUUUAGAGGGAUCCACAUGUAUCCCCUUCUCGCUGACCACAUGGCCAAGAAAAUUCACUUUUCGGAUCCAGAAUUCGCACUUAGAGAAUUUGGCGUAAAGCUUCCCAGCCCUCAGUGUUUCCAAGAUUAGCCGGAGAUGUUGACGGUGCUCUUCCUCGCAUCGGGAGUAGAUUAAAAUAUCGUCGAUGAAUACAAUCACGAAUUGGUCUAAGUAGGGUCGACACACUCGAUUCAUCAGGUCCAUAAAUACCGCCGGUGCGUUCGUUAAUCCGAAGGGCAUUACCACAAACUCAUAGUGCCCGUAGCGAGUUCUGAACGCAGUCUUGGGAACAUCCUCUUGUUGAACUCGUAGUUGAUGAUAACCCGACCUCAGGUCGAUUUUUGAAAAGUAGCUUGCUCCUUGGAGUUGGUCGAAGAGGUCAUCGAUUCGGGGUAGGGGAUAUCGGUUCUUGAUAGUGAGUUUGUUUAGCUCCCGGUAGUCUAUGCACAUGCGAAAAGAUCCGUCCUUCUUCUUUACAAACAGGACCGGUGCUCCCCAGGGUGAGAAGCUUGGCCUGAUGAAUCCUUUGCUCAACAGUUCAUUUAACUGGCUGGAAAGUUCUUGCAUUUCUGCCGGUGCUAAGCGGUAUGGAGCCUUGGCGACGGGGGUAGCUCCUGGGAUUAAGUCGAUCCGGAAUUCGACUUGUCGUGCGAGGGGUACACCUGGAAGAUCUUCGGGGAAUACAUCGGGAUAGUUGCACACCUCGGGAAUGUCGUUGAUAUCCUUCACCUCUUGUUUCGUAUCUACUACGUGGGCUAGAAAUGCGUGGUAUUCCUUUCGGAGAUACUUUUGGGCCUUGACGCAAGAGAUGAUUUGCAAAUUUGAACUGGGUUUGUCGCCAUAGAUGAAGAGGGUUUCGCCAUUUGGCAGAUUAAGGCGAACGGCCCUUUCGUAACAUAGAAUGUCGGCACGAUGGGAACUUAACCAAUCCAUACCGAUGAUUAUGUCAAAGCAUUUUAUUGUGACCGGCAUCAGGUCUACUUUAAACGAAUGGUUGUCUAGAGUGAGGGUACACCCUGAGUAUAUAUCAUUAGUGUGCUCUUCUUUCCCAUUAGCCAUUUCUACUACGUAUGUAUCUUUUAAUGAAUGAGGGGUUUGUUUUAGUAAUUGUUUGAAUUCAUGGCUCACAAAACUCCUCUCUGCUCCACUAUCAAAUAGUACGCAUGCAUAUGUGUUAUUGAGGAGAAACGUACCAGAAACCACCGAGGGAUCCUUGACUGCUUCUCCGUGUCCCAUCGUCAGGACUCUCCCUACACCACCAACAUUAGGAGCUUGUGCCUUGGGGCAGUUUCUCCUGAAGUGUCCUGCUUCACCACAUUCAUAGCAGGUUUGGCUUGCCCCCGCAUUGGCAACUUGGUUGUUCGGNCACAAAGCCUGUAAAAGUCCUUUUACACGAAAUUAGGUCAUAUAAGACCCAACUACAUGUAAGCGAGUUUCCUUCGGGCCUAAAGAUCAUGUCAUUGGGCUAGCUAGGCCCAACAAACACGAUUUGAAACUUUUGGGCCCAAAGACGGUGUAUCGACGUCUGGUGUAUUCUCACGUGUGUAUUGACUUCCCGAAAUUUCCGCGUGUGUAUUGAAGUUUCGUCGUGUUAGUAAUUUCGGAUUCAUUAUUGAUUCGAGACCGAAUCAAUUCGUUUGAUAACGAUUUUUGGUGUUGAAGGUGUAUUAUAAUUUGCCGAUAGUCGAGGUGCUAGUAUUUCAUCAUGACGGGUUUAUUGUUUAAAACAUUAGGAUGUUUCAUUAUUGCAGCCCCUUUCUUUUGGAUAAUUUACACAUUUAACCCUUUGUAUAAAAUAAAUUUCUAUUUUAGUCCUCAAACCAUUUUUCUUGACACUUUAGUAUGAAAACUUGUAGAAAAGUUAUUUUUCAGCUCAAAGUUAUCUGAAAAACAGUUUUAGUCCACCAAAUGAAAUUUUUCUCGGCUGAAACCCUUAUGUUCGCAGUUUUUACACUUUUGGCACAAAAUAGAAAGUUUCUGCAUUUUUGGUCCCUUUUAAAUAUGAAAAACAUUUUUAACCCUUGAAAUGGACUUGGAGCACUAGUAGUCCUCUGUUUUACAAAAAAUCACAGUUUCAGCCCCUUUAAUUUGAAAAUCUCGCAUAUUAGGCUUUAUUGGGCCGAGAAAUUCAUUUUUGGCCCAUUAUGCUUAAAAAUUUCACAUUUAAUCCUUCAAAGAGAAUAUUUCCAGAAAAAUACCUUAUUGAAACUGUUUUGACUCAUUUCAUCCAUCAAAAUUUGUAGUUUGUCAUUUUGGGCCCUUUAACCUUAUAUUUUUAACAUUUUGAGUCCAAAAAUGGGAUUUUUAGCCCAAUGAGUUCAUAUUAUCCAACUUGGUUAUUUUUCUAGAAAUGAUUUGUGUGUAAUAAUAUGUUUAACACUUGUUUCAUACAUCCUAAUGCAAAUUCGAUUUUAAGGACUUUUUGACUAGUUUCAACACCAUAAUCACAUAAGAACAUGUAAACAAACAUAGAAAUCAUACAAAGCAUACAUAUACUCAUAGAUCUACACAUUUGCUUGUAUUCCCCCCCCCNNNNNNNNNNNNNNNNNNNGAAAAAUAGAGGGUAUGAAGCUCACCUUUGGGUGUCAUUUCGGUUUUGGAGGAGAAUGGAAGAAGUUUGAUGUUGUUUUCGGNNNNNNNNNNNNNNNNNNNNNNNNNNNNNNNNNNNNNNNNNNNNNNNNNNNNNNNNNNNNNNNNNNNNNNNNNNNNNNNNNNNNNNNNNNNNNNNNNNNNNNNNNNNNNNNNNNNNNNNNNNNNNNNNNNNNNNNNNNNNNNNNNNNNNNNNNNNNNNNNNNNNNNNNNNNNNNNNNNNNNNNNNNNNNNNNNNNNNNNNNNNNNNNNNNNNNNNNNNNNNNNNNNNNNNNNNNNNNNNNNNNNNNNNNNNNNNNNNNNNNNNNNNNNNNNNNNNNNNNNNNNNNNNNNNNNNNNNNNNNNNNNNNNNNNNNNNNNNNNNNNNNNNNNNNNNNNNNNNNNNNNNNNNNNNNNNNNNNNNNNNNNNNNNNNNNNNNNNNNNNNNNNNNNNNNNNNNNNNNNNNNNNNNNNNNNNNNNNNNNNNNNNNNNNNNNNNNNNNNNNNNNNNNNNNNNNNNNNNNNNNNNNNNNNNNNNNNNNNNNNNNNNNNNNNNNNNNNNNNNNNNNNNNNNNNNNNNNNNNNNNNNNNNNNNNNNNNNNNNNNNNNNNNNNNNNNNNNNNNNNNNNNNNNNNNNNNNNNNNNNNNNNNNNNNNNNNNNNNNNNNNNNNNNNNNNNNNNNNNNNNNNNNNNNNNNNNNNNNNNNNNNNNNNNNNNNNNNNNNNNNNNNNNNNNNNNNNNNNNNNNNNNNNNNNNNNNNNNNNNNNNNNNNNNNNNNNNNNNNNNNNNNNNNNNNNNNNNNNNNNNNNNNNNNNNNNNNNNNNNNNNNNNNNNNNNNNNNNNNNNNNNNNNNNNNNNNNNNNNNNNNNNNNNNNNNNNNNNNNNNNNNNNNNNNNNNNNNNNNNNNNNNNNNNNNNNNNNNNNNNNNNNNNNNNNNNNNNNNNNNNNNNNNNNNNNNNNNNNNNNNNNNNNNNNNNNNNNNNNNNNNNNNNNNNNNNNNNNNNNNNNNNNNNNNNNNNNNNNNNNNNNNNNNNNNNNNNNNNNNNNNNNNNNNNNNNNNNNNNNUCAGGUCAUCAGUAGGCAGGUACCGAGACCAACUUUUGAGAAGAUAGAGCGCAUUCAUGACUCAUCUCUUUAUUUUGAUUUACAUUAUUUUUGGUGUCUAUAACUGUACAUAACACACUUGUAUUAAAAAUUAUAUAUUUAAUGCAAUGGAUGAUGUUGUUUGCUUGUUUACUGUUACUGUGUUGUGAUACAUUACAUGACGUCCUCCGCCCCAGAACGUUUUCGCCGUUCUCGGUUUUGGGGUGUGAAAAUUUUGAUGUCUGUUAGCCUAGGGUUUCCUUGUGGAAGAUUUCCAGUGUUCCUCUAGUAGUGAGGGUUGAGCGUUUG